rnacentral:lncRNA from 1 species
UGGUGGUGGUCAUCCGUUGCUCUGCUCGCCACUGUUGUGUUGUGUCUGUGAUUGUAUUGCCGUGUUGUUUUAUUUGGGGUUUGCUAUCUCUGAUCUGAUCCGCGCGCGGUUAGUGGCUAACCGCCGGAUCGUCCACGCCUGUGCUAUAUAUGCGUCGUGUAUCAUCUUUGCCGUGUGAUUUUACUUCUCGUGUGUCAUGAACAGUGGAAAUCGUGCGAAUAGUUGUGUCUGCAUCUGCACCGUCUCGUGGUUGCGGCUUCGCCGAAUUGCAUUCUAUAACAAGCUCAUUACGCGCUUCUGCUCCGAACCAUACUGAAUUGCAUUCUAUAACAAGCUCAUUACAUGCUUCUGCUCCGAACCAUACUAUGUAAACGAACUAGUCAUCUUUUUUACUAACCUAUGGGUUAUAAGCAAUAGUGCAAAAAAUCGGACCGGUUCACUGGCUCAACAGAAGAAAUCGUGAACCCACGACUCGGCCAGUUUGGUUCAACUAAAAUCAACCAUGUAAUUAGACCGGUGACAACCCGUAGAAAUGAACGGUUAUGUGUGUCGAACUAGCGGUGAUAAAUUUGAUGUUAAUUUGGACCUUAAUUUGAAACUAUCACUACUGGAGAUCUGCUUUUAGUACCGGUGCCAAAUGCGCAGUCCCUGGGACUCGAAAUCCACGAUCUCCAUCCUCGCGCAAGGCUUCUUUACCACCUCAUCUACACAUCACAAGUGAUUGAGUUGGAAUUUUGGAGAGGCUUUUAGCACCAACCUUUUAGUGGCAUUUAGUACCGGGUCGUAAUACCAUCCGGUACUAAAAGGGACCCCUUUUAGUACCGGGUGGUGUUAUGAUCCGGUACUAAAAGGUCUCUAGCUACCUCCAAAUUUGGACACGGAGCAUUAGUACCGGAUCAAGGCAACCGGUACUAAGAAUGAGGAUGAAAGGUUAGUUUUCCAGUAGCGAUGGACAAUAGGCUAUAACAAUAUUGCUAUGCCGUCACGUUUAUUAUGUCAUAUAUAUGUGAUAUUUUUGGAUAGAUCUUAUUACGAUAGAAAUAAUUGCAUAUAUUUCAUAAGUCAUGAGAAAUAAAUUAAUAUUGAUAAAUAAAAUACCGCGUGUUGGGUCGGUAAACUAACGAACGGGUAGCCUGGUUUCAUCUCGGACCCGGCUCCCGUUCUAACGCCAUGGGAGAACACGAUAUGGGAUGUCGAGACGAGGCAUGACUCUCUGCUUUACACCUCCAGCUCUUUUUCUUUUCCUACGGUCCGCUUGGCAGAUAUAGGUGUUUAUUUUUAAUACAAUUUUCCUAAGGUUAAUUUAUCAUGCCAUAGCCUAUUUUUUAAUAAUGACGAAAAAUAACGAUGAAAAAAAUCGGAACAUAUAUUUUAUAAGAGAACAAUGGGUGUGUGACAAGAUUACUCCUAGCUAGUAGCUAGCCUAUGCGCAUUUCCUUGCUCCACGGUGCUAUCCAUCACAAGACGAGAAGCGACAUGAGAACGAUAAAAACAAGUCAACAUGUAGCAAAGGGGAUUCUGACCAAUCCAGCUAGCAGUCAGCAAGUCACGGGAACUCUGAUCGAUCGAUGCGCUAGCUCUAGCCAGCGCCAGCCCCAUGUCCGAUAUGCCGACCAUGCACACCAUUCCUCGCAAGUCGCAACCGCUGACGAUGCUCCGAGCUCCACCCUGAGAUGUCUACUUGGAUUGAAAAAGAGCCCACUUGGCACCAAGCGACACUCCAAACGGGGGCAGAAUGCAUACGUUUCCAGCAAAUCCAGCGUCGUUACCGUCGACAUGCCCAUGGAGCGUUCAUACGUUUUUUUACCGGUAGAGGCAUGGCGAUUUGGAUUGGCGGAUGGCUUUGGCUUGCCCGUGACCUGGCACGCGCCGAAUGGAUCCAAGCGCGCGAGCACAUGCACGUCACGGGCCGCGCUAUCCCCACGCUAUAUAAGGCCGCCGCCGUCGUCCGACGUGAUCAUCACACGCUCACACGUCGCAAGCAUCUCAUCACACAGCAGUCAAGGGGGAUCGUCGAUCGGGUUGAUGGCCGGGAGGAAGGCGGGCAACGCGGCGGCGCUGGUGGCGGUGCUGAUCGUGGCCGCAAUGGCGGCGGAGGCCGGCGCGAUUAAGCUCUGCGGCGUGGACCGGACGGCGGUGGACGCGUGCCGGUCGUACUGCGCCGUGGGCAGCGCGGAGGCGAGCCCCAGCAAGGCCUGCUGCGACAAGGUGAGGCCCGCGCAGUGGGACUGCCUCUGCAAGUUCAAGGGCAGCCUCCCCGAUGGCAUCGACGGCGCGCGCGUCAUGGAUCUCCAGUACAAGUGCAAGUGCGACUACCCGCCGGCCACGUGCGGCGCCAACUAAUCAAGAUCGGCGCCGCCCGGACGGCGUGCAGCCGCUUCAGAAAACAAGAUGUCAGCGAGGGCGACGGCUAAUUUGUGUUGGAGUAGCCACUAAGCCACCGUUUCGUUUCGUGUGUUGUCAUCGUGUAUCCGUGGUGUCUUGUUGCUUUCAGUGCUUGUAGCGAUUCUGACGGGCUGCAGGCUCAUUGUGUGCAAGCUUGUGCUCGUCGUCAGUUUAUCCGUCAGCCUCAUGUGUACCCUUGUACGUCCUUCUUGUGUGUGUCCACGUCGCAACAAUAAACUUUACAGAUUGUUCUGGUCGUCCGAUGGGCUCCCUUAGUUGUGUCAUUGUGUGUGUAUAUAGUUGGAUGAACUGGGCAACAUAGCAAGCAUAUCUGAUCUGGGGGACGGAGGGGCUAAAAACAGAAGGCCCAUCUCGGCCUAAUAGCAUCAAGCCUCAACCAACCCAUCUGCUGCAGACUAACACCGCCAUCCUCGUGAGUCCCAUCCCAUGCCAGCAUUCCUUGAUCCACAAGAGUUUCAUAGAAAGCUUAUUAUGGCGCAAAAUCGUAACCACAGGUCUGAGUCACAUGAGUCAUGACCUCUGAAAAACUGCAGCUGCAAACCAUUUUGCGACAUGCACAAUCAAACAAACGGAGAAUGCAGAUAGGGAGAUACCUACAAAUGUGCUUCAGCCAGUGAACACAAAUUCAGUAACUUCUUACAGGCAAAGGCUUUUUUACCUGCCGAAUGCUUCCAUUGCCAGCAAUAUGGCCUGACCUGGUUAACCAUAGCGGCGCAUGCGGCGUUCCGGUGACCACUUGCUUGUUAGUACCAAACAAAUUUCAUUUGACCACACUUUGACCCGGCUACGGCCUCGUGACCAUCAGCAUCUCCCCGUGGUAGCGCGCGCCACAGCUCUGAAACUGAAAGCAACGGCAUCUGAACCCUGCCCAUAUACACGCCCAACAUCUCCACCAUAUGGACAGCCACAUAAAAGGUAGAACAAAUGCGACCGCAGAUCCAGAGCUUCCAACGAUUGCUGUCUACGAGAUAUCACCAGACUGUACAUGGUACGGCUCUGAAUACGAAAUCCAGAUGCAGCCCAUGCAUUGAGGUCACAGGAGGAGGAGAUGGCCACCAGCCGUGGACAGAGCAAGAGCUUGGCAUGCAGAGAUGCAGGAUCUAGAUUCUAGAGCAUGCCCACCCUCAGCUUCUCACCGUCCUCUGGCAUUCGUUCACCUUUACAGGCUCAGAAAUGAUACUGCGUGCAUCAGAGCUUUUCCUUUCGCUGCCUUCUUCCAAGCACCUUCUCUUACUGAAUAACCUUUCAUUGCCUUCUUUCAAGCAUCUUUUCUUACUGAAUAAGGUUGCAUUUUCCUGCUUGGAUUUUAUUAUGCACUAUAUCUGUUGUGACUGGUGUAAAUAAUUGCCCUGUCUCUUUCAACAGAUCAUGGUUCUGUAGAACAAAAGGAACAACAACGAUUGAACUAAAUGGCAAAAAAUAAAGCAUACAUUGACAUCUUGCGAUUUGAAAUGGGGUACAGAAAAUAGCAUGCAGAGAAGGACAUGCAUAGAAGACAAAAUGAUGCUAUGGUAAUAAUUGAAGCAACAGGACCCCCAUUGCCAAGUUUCAGACGCAUCUGUUAUACCUCCCGUGUGUUCGUGCAAAUGAGAGGGGGGAGCCACCUGCUGGUCUCCGCAGUCCCCACUGCUCCCUCUCCAUACCAGUGUCUCUGCAUGGUAUGGCACAGGGAUAUGCAUAUGCAAGGCAUGAGCAGAGCCGCAGAGCAGCCACACACAAGAGCCUUGCACCAGUCUCCAGUUUAUAUAGCCUUUAACAUUGCUCCCUUGUGCUGUUUCUCUGAAUCCAAACACAGCAGCAUCUCCCAUUCUCUAUCCAUUGCUCGUUUGAACAAGAAGCAUGGCUCAUGGUUGCCCCACAACUACCGCAAGCUCCCUGCUCCUCUUCUUCACUCUCUCUUGCCUGAUUAUCGGCCAAGCUCUCUGCAACCAUGGUCACCAUGGCAGAACAUCAGGUUCUUUCCCCCUUGCACAAACACUAAGUUGGCUAUUCCUCUUUCCUUGCAUGAGACUAGUCCCUUCUGUUCUUGUUGGCUGUUGCCUUUGCUUUUGUUCACUGUUUGUUUGCUCAUUUCAAUCUAAUUUGUUAUGAAGGUGCAGAUUACGUAGAGCAAUAUCACCACCAGGAAUUGCCUGACAAACAUAUAGUUUCGCAGGAGACCAUGAAGGUACAUAUCCCUCGUUUAACUAUAGCUAAGUGGCUGGCGUUCGUAAGGGUUCUCAAGUCUCAAGUCUCAACUUUCAAAACCUUGUACCACUUCUGUUUCUUCUAGUAAAACUUUUCCUACUUUAAAUGUCAACUUGCUUUGCAUAAACUAUGUCAUGUAUCUAUGGAGCUUUUUAUGAGGCCAUGAUGCACCGAUAUGACGGAGGGUAGGGUAUCGCAUAUCCGAUAUGGAUACGCUUGGAUAUGCCAUGGAUAUGUAUCAGCUGCGUAUUGCAGAAGCCAGACAUGGAUUGGGUUUGGUCACGGUACUGGAUACGUAUCUUCUGCUUCCAGGCAUGUGGGAGGAUGACUAAGGAGAGGACUGGAAGGAGGGAGGAGACGCUGACAUGGAGAAAGAGGCAGAGGGGCGACAAAGAGUGACCAGAGAAGGGCUGUCAAGGCUCCCGGUGUCCGAGAUGAAGACGACCGCAGCCGUGCAGCGUAGUCUGCAGGGGCAGCACCAUCCACAUCAAAAUACUUGGACUCCAGAGAAAGCGCGAGUUUUAGAGAGAUGAGGACAGGAGCGACCGAAUUUGCGAGUAUUUGAUGCGAGAUGAUGGCCGGCGGGUAGAUAUUUCAGCGUCAGCGGCUCUGCUUGUGCAUUCAGCGACUUGGGAGCACUAGGACACGCUAUUUAGUUGGGCUGAGUGGGCCAGGAAUCAGGAAAGGGCAGACCAAUAGCAUUGUGUAUGAUAAGUAUGAGGGGUAAAAUAGCAAUUAUAGCUGCAUUAUUCUAUUUCCUCUAAAAACUGUAUUAUUUCAUAAAUUCAUAUAUAAUUAUUAGUAUUAAAAAAUACUAGCUGUAUACCUAUGUCACUGUUUUUUUUAGAAUGGUGUAUCCUGCAUAGUAUCUGGGUGACAUAGCCUACAGUAUUACUAAGAAAAUGUCUUUAGAACAACAACACAAAAAAGGCAUGAAACCUAUGUAUUAAUUUAACCAACAAAGAAUGCAAAGAUCUUAAAGUUGGUAUAAUUAACAUGAUGUUUUCACAUGCCUCGUAUUAGGGUCUAAACAAGGACAUACUGCCAAAGUAUGCAAGGAGAAUGUUGAUCGGCUCAAUGGCUCCAAUAUGCACAUACAAUGAGUGCAGAGGGUGUCGAUUCAAGUGUACUGCUGAGCAAGUCCCAGUGGAUGCAAAUGACCCCAUGAACAGUGCUUACCAUUACAAGUGUGUUUGCCACAGGUGAUCUUUAAUGAGUAGGAGCUUCUAUGUUGUGGUAUGUCCUAGUGAAGAGUAGUAAUUUUCUUCCAUUUUUGGUUCUUCGUCUUCUUUUCCUUCUAUUCUCUUUGUUUUACUUGAAAAGGCUUUUUUCUUUUGUCUUUUACAAGAGGCUAGCUAGUAGAGGACUGGGGUCUGGAGGGGCAUUUUGUACUUCAAAAUGCUUAGUUCAGGUUAUGUACUAUUAAUUUUGGCAGUAAAUGGUUAGAAUUUUUGAUAUCUGCAGUAUAAAGCGGUACCUUAUUUUAGUAGGUACACAGUAGUUUUAAUCUAUGGCUACGAUGCAUCAAGUCUGAAGUAUGGACUGACCUCAAAAUGUAUCAUCUGCUUGAAUAGCCUUGGAGAUCAAGGCUAGAUCUUCUGAGGCUGUUAACCUUCAUUUCAUACUACUAACAUUUAUGUAAAUUCUGCAAACAUUCUUCUGAUCCACCUGAAGUUCCAGUUUCUCCAUUCUGAACACCGUCAGUUCUUAUGGACAGUCAUGUCAUUCCUCUUUUUCAUAGUAUCAACCACCUGUGACCUGUAUAAAAGAGCAGCUUGUUAAAUUAGACAAAUCACAGAAGAAAGGCCACAAUGACGAAGGUUAUAAAAAGGGAGUGCUUUUGUGCAGCCUGCAACCCAUCAAACAAGACUUAAAAGUUUCACUAAGAUGUCUGAGAAAAGAUGUCAUACCAUCACCUGCAACCCUCUGACUUAGGCUAAUAUAUUGUACAUUAUUGUAAGCAACAAACUUAUCAAUUACAAAAAGAGCAAAACAUAUGCAAGUAAAAGCUUGCAGGUUGUUCUGUAUAUAUCCAACAAAAAACUUGUCAAGGAUCCAGUCAACUGGUAAGAUUUACUAACAACUCCGUGCAAAAGAUGCCACUGCAGAGCCGCAACCAAAUAUAUGAAGAUUAUGGGAAGGAUACCACAGUUCCUUGCAGAAGAAUGCAUGCUUAAAAGGCUAUUGUCCAUAGGGCGUAGGCAACCAAAGUUUUUUCCAGGCUACUGCUAGGUAUACAGAGAGACAAUUACAAGUCAUUUAAAUUUGGUGGUUCACCCAAAACCAAGACAGGUUUGAAAUGUGUAAAUGUACAAGAGGUUCAUCUAAACCUUGAGAUAAAAGAGGUUCGGCAAAUAUUCAAAGGCAUCCAGUGAGGAUUAUGUUUGGGGAAUGCAUUGAUUUAAAAAGUUCCUCCCUUGAGCUUUCAGCACUAAGGAAGCUCUCACUAAGGUACUAUAAGUCAUGUAAAAGCUGACAUACACAUGAAAAGGCCAGCUAUAUUUCACAUUAAUAAAUUGGAAAUUGCAAAUAAGAAUUUUGCAAUUAAAUCAUACUAUGCCGAUAAUCACAUGUGAAGAUAGCAAUUUACCACAUUACUAUGAUUUGUAGCUUCAAAUACUUGCAGAUCUCCUAAAAAGACAAUGGAAGGAAAAAGAAUAGACUGGUACCCUGAGAGUGACACAAGAGAGGAGAUGCAUAUGGCCAGAGGGCAAGAAAGCUAACCUGUAGUGCUCCCAGUACCACUCUUUGGCAAUAGACUGAGGUCUCACGGCUCGUCUUAAAUAAACAAGAAUAUGUCAUAGUGGCACCCUGUGAGGUGGUCCCGAAUCUAAGAAAGAUUCACAUGGAUGUAAGAAAGAGGAUCCACAUCAAGCUAUUUUGUUUUGCAUGCAUAAGAAGCCUGCGAAAAAUUCUACUUGAGUAUCAUGCACCAAGCACCAAUGUUGAUGUCAACACAGCAGUGAACCCAUGGUCCAGCAGCACCACGCUCAUCACUGGUGAUGUUGUUAGGAUAUUUCUAAGCUUGAGCAUACUUCUAUACAGGUACUGGUAGCAAAGAGGACCAACCAUUUUGACCUCUCAUUCAUGCAAGAUUGACUAAACGACACAAAUGCAUUGCAAAAUCACACGAGUCAUAGGUCACAUAGUCAGGACCAUAUGCUUAAAACAGAUCUGUAAUUAGAAAGCAUUCGAUUUUAAUUAUCGAAGCCAAAGAACCAAAAUAAGGCAUUGUUCUGAGUCUGCAUUUUCAACUAUUGUCACUACUCACUACCUUAUGAUAAUUCACAGAUCAGCCAUUUUUCAUUUUGUAAUCAGCAAACAGCAUAGCUGCUAAGUGAAAUGCAGAAAGUAGAAAGAAGUAAUAAGCAACAUACAAUCUUGAAGACUUCAGUCUUUAUUCUCAACAUCAUGUGUCUUCAUUCUGAUGUAAAGAACAAUGCAACAGGGGUGCAGAGACUUCUCAAUUACUCCCAAAAUCCACAAGUGGCUGGUCCAAACCGUUAGCACUGUACCCUUUAAACUGACAAGAGUAAACAACUGCUACCUCAAAUAGUUUCUUCAUUAAAUCUAUGUUCAGUCACCACUGUGAAAGCAAGCCACGAAAAAGUUGAAUAAAAUGGAUUACACACAAAUACUCAAGAUGUCCCUUGAUCCAGUGGUGUUUAAAUCGGUACCUUCUUGCGUUUAAGCUGGCAAACAGAAGCUUGUUACCAUCAGGGCUAUGAACCAUCAGAUGCAAUUUGAUACAUGCCAAGAAUGUUGAGUUAACAGACACAAAAGAGCAAUCAAAUAGAUGCUGCCAUGUUAGACAAAUCCCGCAGCAUCAAGUAAAUUUCAUCCCUACAAAGAUGUGAGCCGCCUCCGUUCACAAACUCAUGUAUUUCUCCAUCUACAUCAAUCACACUCCGCCCAAUAUCUUUUUUCAUCCCCUCAUCACUCAUCAAUUUCCUAAUCCUCAAAACAUCAGCCCACAUUCCUUCAUCAGCAUAGAUGUUUGACAGAAGAACAUAGACUCCUGAAUCAUCGGCUCCAAGAUUUGCAAGGCGUUCAACUGAUAAUUCAGCCAGCUCAAUGCACCUAUGGCUUCGGCAGGCAGCAAGAAGAGAUCCCCACAACUCCGGAGUUGGUUCCAUGGGCAUUGUUUCUAUAGCAUGCCUAGCUUGAUCCAAACGUCCAGCACGGCCAAGUAGAUCAACCAAUGCUCCAUAAUGUUCUACCUUGGGAUCUAUCCUGAAAUCCUUUUUCAUUCUGUGAAAUAUCCCUAAACCCUCUGAUACCAAUCCAGCAUGUGUGCACGCAGUGAGCACAGCAAGUACACUUAGAUCAUCCAUCGGAGCUCUUUCAGCCUCCAUUCGAUGGAACAGUGUGACGGCAUCCAGACCAUAACCAUGAGUUCCUAGUCCAACGAUCAUCACAUUCCAAGUGACUACACUCCUCUCAGCCAUGCUUUCAAAGAUCAACUUGGCAAGAUCCAAGCGCCCGCACUUCAUGUACAUAUCUAUCAAAGCUGUCUGCACCACAACAUCGAAUAAUACCUUCUUCUUCUCCAAGUAAGAAUGCAGCCAUCUGCCUUGCUCCAAAGCACCCAGCUGAGCACAAGCCGUGACAGCCCCAACCGCAGCGACCCUGUCAGGCCUUACACCACACCGUAGCAUGCUCUGAAAAUACUCCAAAGCCUCCUUCGCCUCCCCGCACCUGACAUACCCAUCAAUGAGAACACUCCAUGAGAUCACAUUCCUCUCCGGCAUUUCCUCGAACAGUGACCUUGCCUCAUCUAUCCUCCCGUGCUUGGCAUAACCAUCAAUCAUCGAGUUCCAGCACACCAAAUCCCUAUUAGGCAUUUGGUCAAACAGUUCGCGCGCACGGUCCACACCACCAGCCUGCUUCCCGCACCCGUCGAUCAUGGUCGCCCAGGAGAAGGCGUCCCUCUCCGGCAUUUCGUCGAACAGUUCCUGCGCGAGCUCCAUCUCCCCACACCCUACGUACCCCGCCACCAUGGAGUUCCACGAGACGAGGUCCCGCGAGACGCCACUCGCCUCGUCGAACACCUUCCUACCCGAGCGGCAGUCCCGCACCCUACAGUAGAAGCUGAUGAGCGCAUUCACCGUGAAGAGGUCCGCGCCAAGCCCCCUCCCCACGGCCUCCGCGUGCACCAGGAGCCCGAUCCUGCAACCAGGCGCGCAGCCGCAGGCCUUGAGCACGGCCGGGAACGUGUAGGCGUCGGGCUGCACGGCGCAACGGCGCAUCCGCGCGAAGUAGAGGAGCGCGGCGCGGGGGCGCGCCGGAGCGUGGAGGCGGACGAUGGUGUUCCAUGGGAAGGGAUCGCGGGUGGCGACCUCCGGGAGGUGCGCGAAGACGGCGUCCGCGUGCGCGUGCGCGGCGGGCGCGGAGACGGAUGCGAGGGCGCGGAGGAGGAGGUUGGAGAGGCGGGUUGGGGCGGCGGCGAGGUGGCCGGAGGUGAGGAGGAGGGCGUGGCACUGCAGCGCGUGGGAGGCCGACCUGCACGCACGGAGGUGGGAGAGGAGCGUCGGCAGCGCGACGGCGAGAAGCGGAGGCGGCAUCGAUCGGGCAUGGCGGCUUCGAUCGAACUCUCAAACCGACUCUGUUUCUGUGUUUGUUUCAUGGUAGUGGCCCAAUCCCACGAGACGGGCUCGUGGUGUGGGCCUGGGUUGCUAGCCGGUCCAUAUUGCGCAAGUUAUAUGGACAGGAAGAGGUCUCAUGGGUCUGUAAGGGGACGUUAGGCUUGUUUGCUAGCUGGCCUCUCCUGGCCUCGUUCCGGGAUUUCUGUACAGACGGUAUUCGGAUCCUCAAGCUUGUCGCAUCGAAUCUUCGAAGGUUAAUUAGAAGAAUUAAAUGUGAGUUAAUUAUAAAACUAAUAACACAUAUGAAGGUUAAUUUGCGAGACGAAUCUAUUAAACCUAAUUAAUCUAUCAUUAGCAAAUGGUUACUGUAGUAGCACAUUGUUAAAUCAUGGACUAAUUAGGCUUAAUAGAUUCGUCUCACGAAUUAACCUCCAUAUGUGCAAUUGGUUUUGUAAUUAGUCUAUAUUUAAUACUCCUAAUUAGUAUCUAAACAUUCGAUGUAAGGACUAAACUUUAGUCAAGUGAACCAAACGGGACCUUUAGCUUCCGGUAGUUUUUAGCUAGGGCUCCUUUGGUAGGGCUCCUCACGAGGAGCUCCUCGUGUGGAGCCGGAGCUGAAGCCGCGGAGCUCUUUUUUGGGCUCCGCCAUGCAGGCUUAAAACAGCUCCAGCUCCUCCCAAAUGUGCUAAAAAACGGCUCCGCGAUCGAUGCCGUUUGGUGCGGCUCCGACUCCUCCGUACUUCGGUAAGUACGUGGAGCUGGAGCCCUGCCAAAGGAGGGGGUGUUUGGCAGCACUCCACCUUUCAGAAAUCAGCUCCACUCCACCAGCUCCACACUUUUGCAGCUCCACUCCACCAACUCCAGAAAAAUAUGGAGUUGUUGAACGUGUUUGGCAUAUUGUUGUGCUCCAGCUCCAGGAAUAUGAGUUUUUGGUGGGAAUGUUCUAUUUUGCCCUUGGUGGUUGGAUCGGUUGAGUUUUUAGCACUGUUUACAUUUUUUUCUGCUGCUACAGUAACCACGCUGCUACAGUAACCGGGCGUGCUACAGUAACCGGGCCGUCAGUACCGUUCGUGGUUUUUUGAGUUUUUUCCGCUGCUACAGUAAAAUAGCCUACAAUACUUUCUUCAUUUUUUUCCCAUGGCAAAAAAUAUUGAACCAAAUAACGUUGUACCGAAUGAGAGGUCACAACAAAUACGGUACAAAAUCAAUCUUUCCAAUACAAACUAGUUCCAAGCAAGAGAGAGUGCGGUGGCUAGCUCAUCAUGAAAGACAUCCAUAGUUGGCGCGUUGAGUGCGGAAGUUGACCCAUCUGACGCCGCUUGCGAAACUGCAUAUUUGUUAUAUCUUUCCGGUAUUGUAGGAACAAAAUUAGGAUCACGAUCAAACCGAGCAAAUUCUUCAUCUUGACCUCCAUGCUCACGAAUGAAAUUGUGAAGGACCAUGGUAGCCACAACAAUCAUCUUUUGCUUGUACAUGGGAUAUGGUGGCAUCUUCCAAAGAAUUUGCCACUUCAUUUUUAAUAGUCCAAAAGAUCGCUCAAUCACAUUGCGGAUAGAUGAGUGAACCCGAUUGAACCUUUCCAUAGGCGUCUUAGGUUCAAUACCUCUAUGCCAUUCCGGUAAAUGAUACCUUUCACCCUUGUAAGGAGCGAGGUAGCCAGGACGAUUAGGAUAUCCCGCAUCCACAACGUAGUAUUUGCCUAUAUUCACAAAAAAUAAUAUGAGUUAUGGAUUAAUGCUACAUGUUAAUCACAUUCGUAUAUCAAAUUGAACACAUGUUACCUUGUGGAGGAUGUGGAAAAAAUUCUUCAUCCACUCUGAGUGCAUUGUACAACACACUUGUAUCAUGCAUAGCUCCAGGUUGUCCCGUGGAAACAUGAGUGAAACGCAUGUCAAAGUCGUAUACCGCUAGUACAUUUUGAGUGGCUACCCCGACCUUUUCAAUAUAUCUCACUUGCUCAUCAGGUGAAAGAGCAACACGGAUAUGAGUGCCAAUAAGUGCACCAAUGCAAUCUUUGAAAUGUGGAUAUGCACGUUUGUCAUCUCUUAUCCUCUUAUGCACGUUAGUUGGCUUCCGAGAUUCGUGCUCACAAUCCCGUCGUUGGAUGCAUCUCCGUUCUCCCCAAAACCCUAGCCCGUGUGUGCACGCCGCCGCCCCAUUCCCUGCCGUUGCCACCUACCACGCUCGCCGCCGGCGCCGGAUCUCCGCAGCCCGUUGCGCCCGCGCCGCUCCCUGCAGUUCGCCGGCCCCUACGCCGCCGCCAGCACCAUGGGCGCGGCCCCGCGCGCCGCCGGCCACCCGACCCCGAGUGCCGCCGGCCGCGGCCCCAAGCUCCGCCUCCUCCCGCGCGGGCGCUGCGCGGCCCGCGACGCCGUGCCCCGCCGCGUCCCCCGCUGCGCCGCUGCCGCCCGCGCGCCGUGGCCCCGUGCUCCGCCGCCCCCUGCAGCAGUCCGCGGCCUCGCACGCCGUCGGCGCCGUGAUUGUUGUUGCCCAUCGCCGGAAGAAGAAAACAACAAGAACCGGAAAUGUUGAUCUUUGUUUGUGAAAAUGCUGAAUCCAUUCUUUAAAUGUUGAAAUAGGUUAUGGAAAAUGUUGAAUGUAGUAUAUAUUUUUUAAAAUGUUUGAUUUAAUUUUUAGAAAAUGUUGAAUCUAUUAUUCUUAGAUGUUGGUUCAAUUUUCAGAAAUUGUUGAUUGUGAUCUGUUGAAAUGUUGAUUUACACUCUUAUUUGGACCUAACGGGCUUUAAAGCUAUCAAGCUUAAGCUUAACCAAGUCAUAUAGGAGCCUCGCCUCGUCCAGCAAGGAGAGCCAUGCCAGGAGUGGAGAGGUGAUACGGCUUGCCUGAGCAAGCAAGGGAAAAUCUUGCUUUCACAGACGUCGAUGCAGCUGGCAAACCAUCCAAACUCAGAACGCAGCUUGCUCUCCUUGACCAGCCCAGGCGAGGCAAGCCUCGUCAACAAAUCCAAACUGGCUCUAAGUGGCUCAAUUGCCCUGCCUCCAACUUUGCAAUGUUGGAGAUUCGUGCAAGCGUCCAGACCGUCUGCUCGGGCUCCUUUCUCCUUCGCGCAACGGUCCGGCGGGUGGAGGCAGGCGAGAUGGCGGCAAGGUACGACGGCGGGAGCCGGCGGCCUAGGCGGCGGGAGACAAUCGGAUGGGCAGGAUCGACGGCGGGGGACGACGAGCUGCUUCGAUUGAUAGCUGAAGGGGUCCGGAGGGCGGUGAGUCCCACCGCCGGCCGCGGAUGGUGGAGGCUAAAGGCAGGGGCGUCACUCGCUUCUCGUUUAGCGCCGGGGGCCGCCGCCGGAGAUGAAGCAGUAGGCCACCAAGGGCGGGGGAGCAGCUCUGGAAAUGAAGAAGGUGACGGCGCGCGGGUGCGUGUGCGGAGUCUUGGGCCAUAUUGGACGUGCGAUGAAUCUUGAAUCCUAUUCCCAUCUCGCGCUUGAUGGAUAGGAGGCCCCCGAAAGACGGGCAUCGGAGAAGACGAGGAGACUCAAAACGGGAAAUGGGAAGGGAAGCAAGAUCUAAAUAUGGAAUGGCGUAGCAGGACCUACACGCACGGCGCAUGCGUCGACGCAUGCAGCUGCUGAUUCGAAGAGCAGAGGGCAGAGGCGGAGGACGUGCACACGACGGCUCCGGUCGAGUCGGCACGGCAUGGCGAUCCCGACCUCCUCCCCUCCCCGCCGCGGCCGCCUCGUCCUCCUCCGCCUCCUCUCCGCCUUGCUCCUCGCCCGCACCGCCGCCGGCGCCGCCUCGGAGUUCGACGACGGCACCUCGCCCAAGUUCCCCGGCUGCGACAACACCCUGCAAAAGGUGAAGGUGAUGUACUGGGUGAACGGCGACGAGCAGAACAGCCUGACGGGGAUCAGCGCGAGGUUCGGCGCCGUCCUUCCGGACACCGCCCCGUCCGACAGCAAGAAGGACCCGGCCGUCCUCCCCGACCCCAAGGGCAGCUGCGCCAAGUCGUCCAAGCCGCUGGCCGGCUCCGUCGCCGUGGCGGAGCGCGGGGAGUGCACGUUCAUCGAGAAGGCCAAGACGGCGGAGGCCGGCGCCGCCGCCGCGUUGCUCAUCGUCAACGACGAAGAUGGUCGGUCGCGUUGCGCAACCAUAUCGGCGUUUCUUCCCAUCAGUCGUCCUCGUAGCAACGCCUUCCGUCCAUCGGUCCAUGGCAACGAAGGCUGACGGGACUAGCUUAUUGUGUUGCAGGUCUGCAGAAGAUGGUCUGCACCGACAAGGAUCCGCCUCCCAACAUCAACAUCCCCGUCGUCAUGGUGUCCAACUCCUCGGGCGACAAGAUUCAUUCAGCCAUCUUUGACGGGAACAAGGGUGAAAUAAAGCUGCAUUUCUUGUUCUUGUGCUUGUGCGCCAUGAAUCCGAUUCUGAUCCCAUAAAAUUCGUGCCGUGUCGCUCACAUUUUUGCAGUGGACAUUCUCAUGUACGCGCCGCAGAAGCCAUCCUUCGAUGGCGCCAUACCUUUCCUCUGGCUGAUGGCCGUCGGCACGGUGGCCUGCGCCUCCGUCUGGACUGUCGCCGUCGUCGGAGAAGAGGUACACGCACAAACUAACUAAAUUUCGUGAUAAAGUCGGGAAGAUUUCUGAAAAUCUUGCAUGGUUAUUACUGACGAGAUCUCCAUGAUCAUUGCAACGCUCUAGCCUAACAAGAACGCCGCUCCGCUCGGCGGAGAGGAGAAUCCCGACGCCGAGGUUGUGGAGCUGCAGACCAAGACCGCGCUGGUGUUCAUCGUCACAUCGUCGCUUGUCCUGCUGUUCCUCUUCUUCUUCAAGUCCACCUGGUCCGCGUGGUUGCUAGUAUUCCUCUUCUGCGUCGGCGCUAUCCAGGUACGCACCCAAUACCAAUGAACUUGCAUUUGGUUCAGGUGUCCAGCUGAUCGAUGGAGCAAAUGUCCUGCAUCGCUUCACCUCAUUUCUUGCUAAUCAUCUAUUUUCCAGGGAAUGAACUACGUCGCAUCAACUCUCGCGAUAAGGUGUGAAUGAUAACUGCAUGGAAUCUUUAGUUUCAAAUUGUAUGUCAUUUUAGUUUUUCUAAGUUCGUAGAUAUUAUUAUGCAUUUAAACAUAAAUUAUAUCUAGAUGCAUAUAAAAAAUUAUGCAACUAGAUAAGUCAAAACGACCUACAAUUUUGGGACGGAUGAAUAGCAUAUAUUUCUACCGUACUUGGCUACUUGCUGCUUGUCUGCGCCUAAGUGUUGAAAUACGGGUGUGUUCAGAGCAUGCAGCCGGUGUGGCGAAGCGAAGGUGAAGCUUCCUGGCAUAGGGAAUGUGAAGGUGCUGACACUGAUUACCUUGCCGUUAGCCUUUAUCUUCGCAUGUACCUGGGUUGCGCACCAGAACUCACCGUCCGGUUGGGUUGGUCAGAACUUCAUGGUAAGAUAUGGCUGCGUCCGACUUCCAGUGUGCUCCUUUAUGAAGGAAUUUUUGAUGGUUCAUCAGUUCUUGUGCUAAUUGACAUGCUUAUUCUUCAUUCAGGGCAUCUGUAUGAUGAUUCUUGUAUUGCAAGUGGUCCAUAUGCCGAAUAUAAAGGUAUGGACAGUGUGGACAUGCUAUGGUUUAAGAAGUUUAGCAGUCAAUGUUCUCUUUCAUCUGCUUUGUCUGCUACACAUCUGACGAGCUUCAGAUCAUUUUCAGGUCGCAUCGGCGCUCCUCAUCGCUGCUUUUCUGUACGACAUAUUUUGGGUGUUCGUAUCACCCCUCAUAUUCAAGAAAAGUGUCAUGAUCACAGUAAGUGCCAUGAUCGCACAAAUGCUCGUAACAUCAUGUUAUAAGCAUAGUUAAAACGAAAUGCCACAAAAUUCAGGUCGCUCGUGGUAGCGAUGAUGGGCCAAGCCUUCCCAUGGUACUGAAGAUGCCAAAGGAGUUCGAUUCAUGGAAUGGGUACGACAUGAUUGGAUUUGGGGACAUUCUCUUCCCAGGACUGCUUGUUGCUUUCAGUUUCAGGUAAAAUCAAAACUGGACUCUGAAUCUACCAGCAAUGUCAGUAAAGAACAAUAGGCUAGUGAUCAGUUUUAUUUUUUAAGAUUAUAGUGAUCAGUUGUUUCUUCUCCUGAAACAUACUAACUGUCCUUAGAGCUGCAGAUUUGACAGAUCACACGGCAAGGACUUGACUGACGGCUACUUCCUCUGCCUAAUGAUCGGUUACGCCUUUGGUAUGUAGUAGUCAGUCCAUCUCUGAAUCUCAGUUUCAGAGAAGAACAAUGCAGCUUACAUUAACACUGUUAUGCCAACGCAGGCUUGUCAUGCACAUACGUUGGCCUGUACCUUAUGAAUAGUGGCCAGCCUGCUCUGCUAUACCUUGUUCCUUCGACAUUAGGUAACACAGAACAGCAGCAGUUUGAUGCCGUUUUCGACAUUAUGGCGCAUAAUACAUCAGAGUUCUAACAACUGUUUCUGCGAUGAAUUGGUGCAGGAGUUAUCACCCUGCUUGGCGCCAAAAGAGGUGAGCUCAGUCAGCUCUGGAACGCAAAGGUGUAACCUGUCUGGGAUGCUCCUAGUUGAUAUGAUGGGGAUAGCCUUGCAGGCUUGAAAUGGACCUUGGUUUAGCUAGACUUUGUGAUAAUGGGUCUGAUGAUUUUUGGUGAAAUCCUGCCAAGCAUCAGCCUGAUCCUCCGUUAGAAAUUUGCUUUGUUCAGUAUGCAAAACACAUACGAAGGGUGGUUAACUGAUUAUACUAGCCUGUUGAAGUACACACGGCAUGUCAAAAUCGUUAGGGUGAUGUAAAUUUGAGCAAAAAUAGAUGAUAUAUAUUUGCUCCUGAUAUGUUUGAUUACGCGCGAUGUAAAGUUCCUAUUGUCAGCGAGAAGCUGCUCCAUUUUCUGGAUGUUGGAUGUACGUGAUGCAGGUAUACUAGAGGGUUGCACUUUGUUUCAAGAGGAAAGUUCAGCCUUUUCGAUACUUCGGUCAGGGGAAUAUUAAACAUUUGUCCUAUUUACGUUUUGAACUCACAAUUUUACAAUCUCUUUUAUCUAAAAAAUGGUGUGCGUUCGUUUAAUGUUUGGAUGACAGAACUAUAUAUUGAAAAUGAGCUAUUUGAAGUUUGAGUUAGCCAAACAUUAUGAGUUUGUAAUAUUCAAUAAUGUAUGUGUUUAAUGUUCGAGAAAAAAUAUGUUUGUAUUUUGGAAAAAGUGUUUUUUCAUCCUCAUGUUUCAUUUGAUGCAAAUCAACCGCUUAACCAACUAAAUCAGUGUAUUUAUCAUCCCCAGCUUACUUUAACGAUGGUUUAGUGUCAUAUAACAUCAGUUUAUGCCAGUAAUCAUCUUACUAAUCACUGCUUAGUCACAUCUAUUGUUGAGUCAAUCGCUAUAAUAAUUCGCUGUGAAUCUAUUCCAUUAAUUUUUUCCAAUAAAUUUUUUUAGCCAAUUUAGAGGAUUUGUUGAAUUUUUUAUGGGCUUUAUAUCUUCAAAACAAAGCAUAUUACAUCACUAAGAAGUGAGUCAGAUAAUUACGUGGCAUAAACUAUCAUUAGAUCGGUGUAUUUAUCAUCCCUAACUUAGUUUAACGAUGGUUUAGUGUCAUAUAAUAUCGGUUGAGGUCAUGUAAUCAUCUUACUAAUCACUGCUUAGCCACGUCUAAUGUUGAGUCAAUCGCUAUCAUAUUUUGGUAUGAAUUGUUCGUUAAUUUUUCCAAUAAAAUUUUUAUGGGUAGCCAAUUUAGAGGAUUUAUUGAAUUUUUUUUGACUUUAUAUCUUCAAUGUAGCAUAUUACAUCACUAAGGAGUGAAUCAGAUAAUUACGUGGCAUAAACUGGGACUAAAGCAUUAUUAAUUUGAGAUGGGAUGAUAAAUGCACCAGUUUACGGUUGAUUUGCACUAAACGAAAUAUGUUGAAGAUGAAAAAUACACUUUUUGCUUUUUUAGUUUGGUUUUGUGUCUGUUUUUUUUAACAAAGUUUAGUGCAGUGUCCAAAAGAAAAAUCAAAUCAUACCGCACGCGUUUGUGAUUAGCGAAUGUGAUCAAUAAAAGAAAGAGAUGAACCAGAAAUGAAACAUAGGGGAUCCUUUUGUGCCUCUCACUUUCUUUCUUUUUACUCGUUCAUCCUACAAAAUAGAGGGCUCAAAGGUGACUACGUUACUUGUGGGUCGAACAGGGGGCUUGAGCCCCCAUAUCUCCCACCCCACACACACCACACACCCGGCUACCCCCAUCAUUGGAUCCCUCCACCACUCGAAAGAGCACCAGGAGCCGGCGCGGUGAACAAGAGAAGAAGAAAGAAGUGCAGGGGAAAGGAGAAACUCACCAUGGCUCGCCGAUGACUCUUUGCCAGCAGGUGGUGGUCUGGUGGAGGUGCCCUCCGGUCGUCGCCGGGAAGCGGGAGGCGGGCCGUAUCCAAGAGUCACAGCACGUCUCGGCCAACGUAUCCAUGAUUUUUCUUUUCUUUUUUCUUUUCCAGGAUACUUAACAGAUACGUAUCCACAGAUACGUAUCCGAUACGCGAUACGCGCGUCACCUGGCGUAUCCGUGUUACAUGGUUGGAUCCUUCCCUAGUGAGGAUAUACUACCAAGACUGGUUUGCAUCAUGUACUCAUUAAUCUUUCUUUUAUAUUAUAUUUUUAGCUUGAAAUGAUUCGUUUUCUUUGAUCUAUUACCAAUUGCUCCCGCUAAACCGUGGAUUAGUUGAAUCAAACUGGGUACAUAACGCAAAAGCAUUUUUUAUGUUUAUAGUUGGACCACAAAAAACAUCUAAGGCAAAUAACCUGUCAGGAAAAUAAUACAUAACAAGUGAACGCUGUUUUUUUACUUUUAAAUAUAUGGUGUUUAAAAUAAAUACCAGUAGUUCAAAAGGCUUGUGGAUGUUCCUACGGGCACCAAUUGCGCUCCUAUUUUAAAUUUUAACACAUAAAGAAUUUUUGCUAUAAUUUAUAGGAAUUCUGAGGUUCCGUUUUGUAGUGAGUUUAUUUGACUGGAAAAUGGGAGUGUUGACCGACGGACAUCAGGUCGCAAUUUGAUCGUAUAGGUGUUCACUAAUCACUGGUUCAAACUUACCUUGUAUUCAUAUGAGGCCGGUCUCGUCUAAAUAAAAACUACUAUUCUCUUUUCUUUUUUAUUAAAUUUGGUGGGAUGUGCUUCUCGACAGCGAGACGUUAGUGGUUACUUCAUCAAUCUUGAGUAUUUGUCAGUUCAAUGUUUCGGAAAUGUUCAUAAGAGUACGGUUGCGUGCAUGUAUUCGCAGAGGCGAGUGUGCGUGCGUAUUUGUGAGCGUCUAUACUGUAUGAUUGGUAGAAAAAAUCCUACAUAGCAUACUAAUUAAUAAGAAUAAAACUCAUGAAAUCUGGUAAGCGCUACUGCCUAUUAAUCUUGACAAACUGCAUGAUCAGUAAUCAUUUUAUCUUAGCAAAAUUGGCUUCCGGACACUCUUCAAUCGUGGCUUUUGCCACAGACCGCUAAAAAAUAUGGCUUUGCCAGAAGACACUCUUCAAUGAUGGUAAUUUGCUGCAAGACACUGCAUUCAAUAUUAUAUUCAAACUUUAAGAGAAAGCCACUAAAUUGACUACUUAAAAAAACGCUCAAGGGAUUGACGCCGGCUCCAGAGCGAAGUCCCGGCCGGCCGCACCGCAUCCUCUCCCGACGGCAGCGCCGAGCGGCCGCGCCAGCCGACACCAAGCCGAUGGACUUAUCUAGCUUUGGCAAAGCAAGCGAGGAAAAGGGGCCUGACGUUCGAGCUUUCCACCAGCGGAGAGAUCUUUGAUUUGGCCGGCGCAAAGCUUAAGCUAAGAGCUCAAAUGCAGCCGAUGGGAAGCUUAAUUUGGGCGGCAGCUAGCUCAAGGUCAGGGAUUUGAUGUUGGAUUUGAGCUGCAGCUAGCUCGAUGCCAACGAACUGACAGGAAGCGCAGAGCUUCCGAGCUUGUCGCGUGCGGCCGCCUUGAGCGCGAGCCGCGCGCCAACGGUAACGGGCGCCGCGGCCCCUUCGAGCAGGCGGAGCGCGCCGCAGGUAGAGGCCACCAUGAGCGCCUCGGGCGGGCGCCGCGGCCGCCGUGAACAGGCGCUCCACCGAGAAAUGGGAGGCUGCCUCGACUGCGCGUGUUGGGAGGAGCCUCGCAAAGUGCACAAAUUACCCGCGUGUCCAACGGAUGCUAGUGCACAAAUUACCCACGUGUCCACGGGCAAAAAUGAUACGGGUUCUAUUCUUUGCAUACGGAUACAUGUGCGGGUUUAAAUUUAUGUCCACGAGCAAAAAAAAAUUAGAAGGUAUAAAAAUAUCUUACCUGUAUCCGCAAACCCGCUACAUAGUGCAUGACAUGUGAACCUAAAUAAUUAUAUAACCGAUUUCUAGACUUCUCCUUCGUUCCUCCAAUCCUCCUCCCAGCCGCACCCGCACACCACCUCUCGUCCUCUCCGCUCCUCGCCACCCGUCGCCUGCUCCCCGCCACCCCCUCCACCCUCCACCGCCCACCGCGCCACCCACCGCCCACCUGUCGCUGCGGGCACAACUUCUUGCCCCGUGACGGGUGGUGUGCGCGGGCACGGGUACAGAGUUUACCUCGCGGGCGUGGGUCUAUAAACCCUCUACCCAAGGGUAAUGUGCCCGUUGCCAUCCAUAGAGAAGCCGGCACUGAUUCAUUUUUACCUCACGUUUUUCUGGAGCAAGAGUGGAAUGGGGGAGAAUGAGAUUCCGGCGUAUGCAAGAGCAACUCCAAAAGACUGCUAAUCUUACCCCCAUAUCUUCUUUAGGAAAAAAAAGAAUUCAACAGUCCAUCUAAAACUCCCUAGAAGUUUAACGACGUGAAAAAAACAGCCUACACCCCGCGUAUAUUCGCAGCGAACUGUAUCCCCCAAUCCGCCCCCGACCUCUUUCCCUCGCGCGUUUUUCCUGGGCAGCACCCAAGCAGCCGGACCUUCUCAGAUCUUCAGCAGCGGUAAGGAAUCUUCUGAAAGCUGGAGCACGGGGUUCGCGCUGCCAUGGCGGACAUUGAGGCGGCGGCAAGGGCCCCACCCCUGCCGGCGCCGGCGCCGAGGAGGCCCGUGACCGCGGAGGUGAAUCCGGCGUUCGCUGAUGUUCGUGGGCAGUGUCGCCAGCAUCACCCUGGUCGUCGCGCGCUACGCUGUCGGCGGCGGCUACCCCUACGCGCAGGCGGUGGUGGCCUUCGAGAGGGACAUGUUCCUACGAGCACUCGCCACUGAGCUGCUCCUCUGCCCGUUCACCAUCUUGCUGCUGCUCUUGCGCCUCGACAGACGGCCAACUGAGCCUCCUGACGAGUUGGUACUAGUGCGUGAUUCCAACCUGUUCCCUUCUCCCUAAAUCUUAAUAGUCGAUCUAGACAUCUAGUGAUUCCCCGUAAGCAUUUCUAAUUGCUGAAUACGCGAGUUUUGUGGUAAUUGUUCGUCCUUGCUCGUGCAGAUUGGGGCGGGUACGCCACCAUGCAGCUACAUGGUGCAGAGCACCCUGGAGCACGUGGCCAGCGUCAGCGCGCUGGCUAUGGCCUCGUACCGCUGCUGAUCUUCAUCAUCCUCUCAAUGUCUUUUUUUGCCCCUUCUCAAUUUCUUUCUUCAGAUCUCAUGAAGGGGAGGUAACAACUGCAGUUGCAAUAUCUCAAUUUUAGAUAGUGAUGAAUGGACACUACUUUGUUGUACAUGAUCUGACACGUGAUGUAGCACGAUAAGUCUCGGCAGCGAGCUCGGGCUCGGGCAGAAAGACGGCGGUCGGCGGCCGAGGUUGCGCUGACCAAGUACCUGGAGUGAUUCGAGAGGGAAAGGAGGGUACCCGGUGUCAUGGCCAUAGCACGAGAAGUCUCGGCCGCGGGCACGGGUAGAAAAACGGCGGCGUCGGCGGCCGAGGUUGUGCUGACCAAGUGCCUGGAGUGCUUCGAGAGGGGAAGGAGGGUACCUGGUGUCAUGGGUUGGAAGGUGGGCAGGCCAGUAAAUGGGCUCAAUUACGAUGACGUGACCUUUUUUUUAAAUUAUUGGGGGUAGUUUUUAGCGUUCUGCUGUGGGUUGAUAUGAUUUUAGGGGAAAAAUUUUUUAGCAUAGCCUCCAAUACUUCGUUUUGGGGAAGAAUUUUUUUGAACUCUUGAAGUUGCAUGGGACAGUGGCUUUCUAUUAAAUUAAAUAUAAUAUUAAUUAUGAUGUCCUAUAGCUGAUUACCUCUAUCGAAGAGUGUCUAUUAGCAAAGUUAUAUUUUUUAGUGGUUCGUAGCAAAACCUUUCAUCUUCCCCCUCCACAAGGUUUGUCCCUGUCCGUGUUUCCCAUCCUUUUCUCCUGCAUUCACCGACCACGAGCACAGCCGCGCCGCUCCGCUCCGCUCCCGCUUGGCCCGCUUCCCCGCCCGAAUCCGAUCCCUUCCCCACCUCCAUCCCCAAAUUCCACGCUGGUACGCCUCCUCGUCUCCUUGCCCUCCGUCGCGAUCUCUUUCCUUUCCUGGAUCUGGAUUUCGUCGCGCGUAGCGCAGAUGCGGUUCGAAUGGGAGGGCUGAUCUCGGGGGGAGGGGCCAUGCCCAUGAGCUUGCCGGGGAGGAAGGCCCCGGCGGGGGGCGCCGGAGUCCGGCGGUGGGUCGUCACCAUCGUCGUGUCGGUGGCGGCGCUGUUGCUGACCCUCCUGUUGAUAUCGCUGUCCGUGGGCUCGUCCCUGCCUCGGACGUCGCUGCAAGAUUACCUCCCCGUCAGCGUUACUGGCCUGGGGAAGCUUUCGUCGCCGGACCAUGCUGAUGGAAACACGAACGGCACUGCGAUUGGGGAAGAAUCCUUGCAGGGUGGCCGGGAACCCUUAGUGGAGCAGAAUGGUCAGGGCGGUGACGUGGAUUCUGGCCAACCGUCGGCGGUUACUGGAAAAAUCGAAAGCAAAGAGCCGGAUCCAGUUGCUCCCGGUGAUACCACGUCAACCCCGGAUGAGGAUUCAUCAAAUGAAUCUCAAAAGGAGGAUUCAUCAAAUGAAUCUCAAAAGGCGGAGCAAGGUGAAGUGUUAGUGCAGUCCCCUGAUGUUUCUGCACGGCAUUUUGCCAACAUGGAUGGGAUGUUGUUGGCAUUGUACUGUAGUCAUUUAUUAAAUUUAUCAUCACAAAUUCACUUAGGAAUAACUGGGAUAUAGCAGAAGUUGAUCCUUGUUUUUAUUGUACAGGUACUUGUGAUCUAUACCAUGGGGAGUGGGUUCUUGAUUCUUCUGGGCCGCUAUACACAAACAACUCUUGCCCUAUCAUUACACAGAUGCAAAAUUGUCAAGGAAACGGGCGACCGGAUAAGGAAUAUGAGAACUGGAGAUGGAAACCAGAACAGUGCAAUCUUCCGCGCUUUGAUGCAAGGAAGUUCUUGGAGUUGAUGAGAGGCAAGACACUUGCGUUUGUUGGGGAUUCAGUUGCUCGGAAUCAGAUGGAAUCCCUUGUUUGCCUUCUGUGGCAGGUGAGACACCUAUUGAUACUAUUCAUGAUCCAGCAUUCAAAUUAUAUAAUUCAAGAUAGCCAUGACCUGCUAGAUCCUUUUUGUGUCUAGUUUUACUGAUCUAUAUGUUUUCCCCUCUGAAAAAUGGUAUAUAAGUAGUUAAGUACAAAUUCAUAGGCCUUUCUACUAAUGAUUCGCCCUGAGUCAGGGUUUGUUCAGGAGUUACAGAUGAACCGUUGUUUUUGUUUAACAUUUGGUAGUUUCAGUGCUUGCCCACAGCGGUAUUAUUUGAAAUUUUGUGUUAAAAUGAAGGAAAAAAUGUUGUCAGUUCUUAUUUUCUCAUCGAAUAUGGAAUAAUUCGGGAUAAAAAUCUAAGAUAAGUUUACACAAAAAGCAUAUCAAAGCUGAAGAACUACCACUAAUAAGCAAAAGAACGUGAAGUACUUGGGAUAUUUCUUGCAUACUCAUACGGACAGGUGGCUCUGUGACUUAGAAUUGUUUCAAAGGGUGUACUUCAUCAACAUAUGAGGCUUCUCUUAUUUUAGAAGUUGCUCUUGUUCUGUUUGGGAGACUAUUACAAAGAUUAGUUACUUUUCUUUUCUCAUCAUUCAUGUUUGACCUAUUCAUUUCUCUAUACCGAGCACUUCUUAAGGGGGGUUUCUUUCUAGGCUAGUGCAAAUGUCAUAUGAAGGCUAACUUAAAACAAGUUUGCACUCCUAAGCUGAAUGUAUUUGUACCUUUUGUCAUCAAGCUGUCAAGCAACAUUGAGCUGGUUUGUUGUCUUGAAGGAUUUGGUGUUCUCCUUUUCAUAGGUAGACGUCCCACAAAACCGUGGCAACAAAAGGAUGCACAAGUGGCUGUUCAAGUCAACUUCAACAACUAUUGCCCGUGUCUGGUCUUCUUGGUUAGUGCACAGGUCAACUGAAGCUGUGGGGAUUGCUCCCAAGGGUAUUGAUAAGGUUUUUCUGGAUGUCCCUGAUGAGACCUUCAUGGAGUUUCUCCCAAGGUUUGAUGUAAUUGUCCUCUCCUCCGGCCACUGGUUCGCCAAACGAUCAGCCUAUGUCCUUAAUGGCAAUGUUGUUGGAGGGCAGCUCUGGUGGCCUCGUCAAGCAGGAAAAAUGCAGAUGAACAACGUGGAUGCUUUUGGUGUGUCUGUUGAGACUUGCCUGACUGCUGUGGCAACUAACCCAAAUUUCACUGGCCUAGCUAUCGUGCGCACGUGGUCACCAGAUCACUAUGAAGGUGGAGCAUGGAACACUGGUGGAUCAUGCACAGGAAAGGUCAAGCCCUUGGAUGAGGUGGUGAGGAAUGGCUUUACUGAUGCGAUGUAUGGUAAGCAGGUUGAAGGCUUCAGGAAAGCAGUGAAGAAUGCAGGGGAACACGGUUCUCGGUUGAAGUUGAUGGACAUCACUGAACCCUUUGCCUUCAGGGCUGAUGGGCAUCCUGGCCCAUAUAGAAGUCCUGACCCAAACAAGAAAACACAGAGAGGGCCAGAUGGAAAGCCUCCGCCUCAGGAUUGCUUGCAUUGGUGCAUGCCAGGACCAGUAGAUACAUGGAAUGAGAUGUUGCUAGAGACCAUACGAAGAGAGUUCGAGAGAGAUAGUAGCUGAAGAUAGAACUUGCGUCUACUUCGCCAUCACAUGAUACGUUGUGCCCUGCGAAAUACCUCGGUGUGUAUCGUGGCACUUAGCAUGUUGUUGUUCUUACAACAUAGGAAGGAAUAUAGCAUGUUGUUCUUACCACAUAGGAAGGAAUAUAGCUUUGGAUACGUAAGAUUCGGUGUAUUUUUUGUCUGACACAUUUUGGACGUAUCAUUUCUUGCCAAAUUUUGUGGAACUGUAAACACAAUAGUGUAAAACUGGUAUCGAGUCUGUGUCGGUGUACUAGUUUGCUUGGUAGAAGAGAAUGAGGAUGUAACCAGCGAGGAGUACAAAAGGUCAACUGAAACCGCAAUAGUGUAAACUGAUAUCUGCUGCGAUAACUUGCUUUAACUGCAAUUUCUGCGUUUUUGCAAAAUACUGCUGUUCUAUUAUUGCAGGUAUUCCAGAAAGUGCAUAAAUGGUUUCUGGUCUUGCCUAACACGUGUCUUGUGGUUCAAAUUAUUUAGUACUGUAUGAUCUUGACAUGUUAGCAGUGUUCUAGAAAGCAAGGGUAUAAAAAAGUAAAAGAAAAGGUAUAUUCUAAUGCUACUUAUCAGUUGGCUCGAGAUUGCUAUCUUCUGGCUGGAGAAGCUGCGUAUUGUGACUGCCAUUAGUUUUCUAGUACCAAUGGUUAGUGCAUCAAUUGCUAUCAGUAACAGGUUGGUCCAUCUAGGCCUUUCAAAGACCUUUUUGAAGGUGAGAAAUAACAAGUCACAGUACGCUCUGGAAAAUCAUAGCAGGAGAGUAAUAUAUACUGUGGCUCUAGAUGAUGAGGUCAGUAAUCAGUACCUGGAAAAUCAUAGCAGGAGAGUAAUAUCAAGGCAGCUAUUUGAAUUGAAUGCUUGGUUGCUCUCUGGAAUUCAGUUCCAGACCAGCUUUUGGCUCAGCGCUGCUCCGACAAAAUUCUAUUCCCAUGAUUAGCCUUAGAUAAUGGCCAUGUGAUGUGACCCUUCUCCGGUCCAGUAGCGUCAAUCGCCGCAGAGCUCAAGAUAACAUUGUUUUGUCAGCUGUCAUCGGGAGCUUUGAUCUCAUCGGUUAGGUUCUAUGCCCGGAAUAUGCCACUUGGCCCCCAUGUUAUCUCUUCGUACAGCCAUUUGUCCACCAUUUCUAAUUUUAUUUUGGGAGGGGCUCUAGUUUAUGCCAUGGUAUCGUCAACCGGAUGCUGCUUGCUCGCCUUUUCGGUAACCAUGCGAGUAACGUGCUACUCCCUCCGUUCCAAAUUACAACUCAUUUCAACUUUUUUGGAGAGUCAAAUAAUUUUAUGUUUAAUUAAAAUUAUAGACCAAAUAGAUAUACUAUGAAAAUAUAUUUAAUGAAAAAACUAAUGGUAUUUAUUUGUUAUCAUGAAUGUUAGUAUUUUAUCUAGGACCUUAUAAUUGGAAUGACUUAUAAUUGGAAUGGAGGGGUAUUAAUCUAGGACCUUAGCUGCCCACUCCCCCAGUGAGGUGGUAAGCAAAGGAUUAGCACGUAGCGUGACUGUGUGAGGCAGGAAAAACCUGUUACGGCGUGCUAAGCAGCAAUGCGACUAGUGUUUACGGCGUGUUAUUAAUCUAGUAUCCAGAAUAAGAUCAGUAUAUGUGUCAGCGUAAACCAAAACUAUCAACAAGUUGUUGUAUAUGUAUGCAGGAAUGGGCAUUAAAACACGUGCCUCCUAAAUUCAUAAUUCCAAUUGGCAAUUGCCAUUCCCUGGUGAAUGAAGAAUAUUUCAGCACAUCAGAAGUUGUACCUCCUUUUUUUUAAGAAAAAAAUCAGUAGAGCAAUUCAAGCAAUUCCAAUCGAGUCGUGUGCUAAGUAAACAAAGUAACUCCACGUUACGAUAUAUAUUGAUAAAUAGGUAAUAAAGAAAGAAAAACGAAUAGUUCAACACGGGUUGAAAAUCAAAUCGCAAAAAAUUAGGUCCUAAUGCACAGGGAAGGUCAAUAUCCAGCAACAGUCCAAAGGCUUGCCCUGCCCGAUCUUUUCAGAGCAGAGCCUGGCCCAUGAGAUUUCCCACUUUGACCAGGCAUUUUUCACCACUGAAACUACUGACAAGCUCCCACAAAUUCGUCACCGUCAAGCUGGCCCCCAUCACCGUUGUAUGAUUUGCACACGUGCCGUGUCAUCUGUGCCCCGGCUCUGCAAUAAUCUCAUUGCGCGUGCUCCGUGCUCCGUCCUAUCCUAGUGUCUGCUUGACACGUGCGCGUGAGUGAGUGAGACUUAUAUCAGGUUUCAGUUGGUGGUGUAGACCUGUCCAGCGUUUGAGCACACAUAAUUUUUUUUUUUUGAACGUAAAGAGCACACAGAAAAUAACAGACAAGCAUGGGGCACUUCCCCUGCAAUGAUGGCCUGAUUGGUGUGAUCCACAGGCCACUAGCUAGGCUAGCCGCGAGCAAGCACCCAUCUCAUGCCCAUAUGACCACAUAUCUCCACUGCAUGCCACCAAGCAGCUGGUUAAGGGGCAGUUGCACCAAUGCCACCCAUCGUGUCGUGCUCUUUGAUCUCUCGUGUCCAAAUAGACCGCCGCAACUUAAAACUAUAUUCUUUUAAAUAAUAGAAAGAAUGUAUAUGCAUAACGGCAAUGCACAUGCACCUGUCUAAUUGUUUUCUUUUUUCAUGAGUGUUUUAGUUGUAGCCAGUCGUUUCAGAUAUUGGUGUAGCACAGUGUUUAUCCAUUCCGUGGUGUGAGUCCAGUCGUUCUACUGGCUUUCAGAAAAUUUUCCACUAUAUUUCCAAGAGAAGAACUGAAAGUGAACAUGGCACUAGUUGAAUUCCCCUCAUUACACUGAUAACGUUAAAAUCUGUCGAAAAUGUGACUGCCAUGAACACCACAGCCAUGGUCGACAUCUCUCGACGCAUCCGGCUGUGGUCGACAUCUCUCGACGCAUCCGGGUCGAUGACUCAACAACUCCACAUCUACAUGCAUCCAGUCAAGAUAAGCUGGAAGUCAAAUCUAAUGACCACGGGAUGUAGAUGUACUCCCUCCGUUCUAAAUUGGAGUCAUUUCAUAUAUUUUGCUAAAUUUUGCUAAGUACCUAAAUAAUUAGGUGUUGGUACUUAUAUCUAGAUACAUAAAUAAAAGUUAUGAAUCUAAAAGUAUUAAAAUGAUCUAUAAUUUGAAAUGGAGGAAGUACCGGUAAUAUUUGUGUGGCCACUUCACUACCAUUAGCGGACGAAGGACCCUGGAACCAUCCGAGAGCAAGGAGGGGACAGGGACACGGGUGAUAACUGGUAAGCCCUCCGUCACCUGCCGCCCCACCCCAUCCGGGCAUCCGGCCUGGGCACAGGUGCCCUCCCCGUCCCUUUCCCCCGCCGCUACGCCGCGGCCGCCGUGGCGCGUCUCCAGCAGGCGGCUUCACGAAGUCGCCCAAGCCUCGCCAAGCUGCCGGCCCGCCUGUGACUCACCUCGGCGUACGGCGAUCGAGCUCGCGGUGCGGACGAGAGAGAGAAAGAGAUAGAGAGAGAGGAGACGAUGGAUUGGAGAUUUGGAGUGGGCACGUAUGGCCGUAUGGGCCAUGGCCCGCAUGUGUCGACAGGAUGACUCCUCUAUCGAAGUGACGAGUCCCGGCGUCGCAUUAUUCCAUUUUAUCCAUCCACUAACCCUGGACCACUGACAAUAAUUUCCGUCGCCUUUCUCCUACCCAAUCCAAAUUCCGCUUGAAUGGCAACGGGUUUUCGCAUUUUGUUGCACGGAUUUUGUUUCGGAUUGAAACUGAAACCCACGCUAGCUCUGCUAGCUGCCAUGGACCAUGGCACAGUGCUUGGCAUCGUCAAGAAGUUGAGAUUAGGAGCAGAGAUGCCGUGAUGUGUCGACAAUGUGUGAUCCUUCCAGCAAAGCAUGUACAAGUCUCUUGUCUGCUUAUUACAGCGAGUUAAUUAAGAACCUUUUUGGAGGUAAGUGUUACUGCCAGAGCAAAAGAUUUGGUGAUCUUUAAUUUGCAGGUGACAAGAGGUUCGCUGUGGAAGGGUUACCAUAUGCUUAUCACAGGGUGCUGCGGAUUUUCAAAGCGAAAAUAUCACACGCAGAUCACACAGCAGGCAGGGUCCUGCCUCGUUUUGCGUUAUAAAAUCAAAAUCUCGCCGCCGCCGACAGGCACACCGCUGCUAGAGUCUAUAAACAAUGCUAUCGUGUUUAUCCAUGCUCAUCCAGUACAACACCACCUGCCCGCCGCGUACACCGUUUCCACCAUUUCUUUUCCGAAUAUCCUUUUUAGUCUCUCCCUAAUGUUCUUCUGAGGAGAGAUCAGGAUCCAGUACUUAAUGAUUUCUCGUGCCACCUUUUUUUCUUAAAAGCAAAGUGGUGUGCAAGAACAAUUUGCGCUCUUGAUAAUCUCGAACAAAAAUCCCUGUACAAAAAAGUUCGAGAGCAACUCAAAGUCAAAAUGGAACUCUCGCGCACUAAAAAUCUCUCUUUUUUCUACAAAGAACAUCUCUUUUUCCAUGAUCUCUCCCCGGAGAACGCCGUGAAGGUGGCGAGCUACUUGAUCCUCGCCGCCGGCGCGGCGGCCGGGGGCGGGAAGAACCCGACGGCGCGGCACUUGACGUCCAGACCGGCGGCGCCGGGCAUCGGCAUUGCCGCCGGCGAGGUGGUGGUCGACCGCUUGUAGGGCCCGAGCCACUUGGCGAGCAUGUACCGGGUCUUGCGCCACGGCGGCACGUGCAGGCCGUGGGCGCGGAGCGACCGCCGCGCCGAGUCGGACGCCACGCGCACGGCGCGCCCGACCGACUCCUCCCGCGCCACCACCGCCGACGCCGGCACCGCGGCCACGACGGCCGCGUACUCGGGCGUCGCGCGCGCCACCUCCAGCCCCGCCCGGAAGUCGGCGUCUACAAUGUACCUGCCCCGCGGUCCGCCCCUCGCAGCCGGCGGUGCCACCACGUCGACGUACUCGUACGUCCCGGCCGUGAUGCCGCCGGACGCCUCCCACCGCGACUUGCACACGCCGGCGUCGUAUCCCGCGCCGCGCAGGCGCCGCAUCACGGCGCGCCGGAACGCCGCCCCGUGCGCCCGCAGCGCCGCCUCCGCCUCCAUGGCCGCCGCCACCGCGGCGGCCAGCCUGAUCCGGAACACGUCCUCCUUCGCCGGCGGGUCGAGCAGCUCUCUCACGGACGCCGCAGCGGCGGCCGCUCGCUCAGAACCAUCCCCAUCAUCGGAAUCAUACUCCUUCGGCGCCGGCCCAGCUCCCUCCUCGGCGGCGCCGGCCUCCGUCUCGAGGAACGCCUGCACGAGCCCGGAGAGGCAGGCGGACGCGUCGUGGUCGCUGCCGCUGCUGGUGCACCCCGCGCCGGCGGCGUCAUCCCCGCGGAGGCGCGCGCGGACGGCGUCGUUGAGGCGGAUGUACACGGCCAUGUUCGCCGUCGAGCGGCCCGGUGGCGCGUCUCUCUUUUCCGGGGAGGUGGUGGUGCUGUGAUGUGAGCUGCUGCGACGGUGAGGGGGGGAGGCGGACACCCGGCGACCCCCGGGUUUUAUAGGGUGGUUGGCUCGGCGACGGGCGCCCCACGGGGCGAAGGGUCUAUUCCCUGGAUUAACCGUGGCAUUAGUGGGGUGGGGACGCGUCGGUCACCCGAUUAUUGUUUGAGAAGACGGGGAUGCGAGGGUGAACCCUCGGAAUAUGCUCUCUUGAUGGCGUUUUGGGGAAGCUGGCGCGCUAAAGAUAGAGAGGCUUCGAGCCAAUUCGACCGUGCCACGCUGGGGUCAGUCCCAUCCCAUCCCGCGGAGCCAGCCAAUGGUUGGCAUGCCAGUGCCACAACGUUUAAGGGCUUGUUUAGUUGUCAAAGUUUGGAGGUGUCAAAUUACUGUUACAGUACUGUAGCACACUGUAGCGUUUCGUUUGUAUUUGUGAAUUAUUAUCCAAACAUUAACUAAUUAGGCUCAAAAGAUUCGUCUCGCAAAGUACAACAAAACUGUGCAAUUAGUUUUUAAUUUCGUCUACAUUUAGUACUCCAUGCAUGUACCGCAAGUUUGAUGUGAUGGGAAAUCUUCUUUUUGCAUAGUGUCAAAGUUGGAAGUUGGGGGUGAACUAAACAGGGUUAAAUUUGGUUGCAUCUACGGCUGUUUUCCUUUUGGUUGCGGUAACAUGUCGAGGUUUUUGGUAACCGCUUUGUGAAGUUCUAGGUGUGCGUUUCCGAGGCAACAACCAAGCCGUCGUACUCCUAGCUAGUCUUGUAUUUUCUACAGUAUCUAGAGAUGACCCUUUGGCCUCCAAAGGAUCAAGAAAGCAGCAUAUUCGCGGUCCUUUUGCGAAUAAACGGAGGUGAAACGGGGCAAGUCUCCAUUCAAAAACCAGCGAGUGACUAGGGACCCCAAAAGAUUUAAUCGACGCGUCCGUAUGCCGAGACUCGACGGAGGCGACCCGGAAAGUCCCUGGAUUUGGAUUAGAUGGGGAACAGGCUCAAGCACGCCAUCGUCACUGUGACAACGGGGACAGGCAGGCCUGAUCGCCAAGCGCGCGCCGGGGGGGGGGGGGGGGGGGGGGGGGGGGCGGGGGCGGGGAUAUCCGCGGCAUCGCGGGUCUUUAUCCUCUGUCACGCGGGCCUGCGGCGCGAUUGGCCCAGGUCAGCGCGGUGGUGCCAGGUGCUUGUUUGCCUGGGGGCUGGGGGCGCCCGCGUUUGGCCCUUGGUGCAGCCGUGGGGGCGGGCGGUGGCCGUGCCCGCGGCUGCGGCCGCGCGGCGUCGCUACUAGCCGUGGCGCCCGAUAGGGACUUGCCCUUUCGCUCUCGGGGCACGGGCAUCCGCUCGCUUUCCCCUCGUCAAGGCGCUGUCUGUCCUUGGUCGUGGGUCGCGCCCGUAUACAUCGUGUACCUGCUCCGCAGUCCGCACUGGCAAAGUCGCAGUCGGCUUGGUGGAUCCAUGCACAUUUUCCCCCUCGUUGACAUUAUGAGAAUCCUCGAUUUCACCUUUGGGAUUUGAGAGUUUUGUAGUCUUGGUGGUUUGUGGUGGAUCGAGCUGCAUUCGAAAUGCAUGGACUAUCACGAAGAAUUUAGCAAUAAAAGAACCAUGGUGGAAUUCUGCAGAAUUUCUCGCGUUCUCGCUUUGUAGCGCAACACAUAAAGUUGCCGCUGAGAGAUUAUCACUUGGAAACACGUGGAGUUCAGUAGCAUCCCCACUAUGGCGGCGUGCGUACUGGCGUCGAAGACGACGUGCUGUGCUAUCGCCAGAUGCGUACGAAGCACAGGUAUCGUACUAUCGUCGUCUGCCGCAGUAGGAAGAUACAAACUCACGAGAGAGUGAGUACGUCCAUCGUCGUGUGUUGAGCCAGGACGACGACGGCAUACGUGACCAUCGUCCUCCACAGCCACCGGCGCACGGCGCACGGGCACCUAACACGUAUCAGGGGGAUUCCGAGAGCGGCGCCGGUGGGCCAGGAAUUAUUAAGGUUGGCCGCCGGUGUCCGUCCGCGACCGCGAGCGAGCGGAGGACAUCGACCCACCGUUUCGCCGGGAAGGCCGGCCGCUCCGCCGGUUUGCCCGUUCGUGGUUUCCGUCGAACUAACCAUGCGUUGAACAAAAUCCCCCCAGGCCCCAACCCAACCCAACGCACACGGCAAAGGCCAGAAGCUGCCCCCCGGCUCGUUCCGCUCAGGCGCCAGCGCGCGCGCGGGCUAGGCGGCCACGCCAGGGCUCGUGUUUGUUGUGCCGUGGUGUGUGGCCUGGCCGCCUGGGACUGGGAGGGAGGAAGGGCCCGCUGCCAGUGCCAGUUCUAGAAUGGGAUGGGAUCCUCCGACUCCUCGAGUCAGUCACGUGUGUGCCGUGGAGAGGACUCGCGGGAAGGCGUCCAGGUUCAGUGGAUCACCAGAUGUUUCUUGCCUCAUUUUGGGUCGUUGUGGUGGCUCUGCGUCCGCAUGCAUCGUUCGUCCGAUCCCAAUUCCAGCGGCCUCGCUUAGCUAAAACGGGCGACAUGUUCGUUGUGCACCUGGACGGGGAUUUGGUCCGGUGCGACAUGCAAAUUUGCAAUGCAAGGUUGCGGAUGGUGGAAAGGGAUCACCGGAUCAGAACAAAGAGCUUAUAGUGAUUAGGUUCAUAGGAUCACUACUUUAGAUUAAAACAUUGUCUAAGAUCUACAUCAGAGAAAACAGAGAGAGAGAUGAAGGGAGAGUAGAGAGAGUAGAGAUGUCAACCAUCAGUCUUAAUGCUUGAGCUCGCCAUGGAGAUAGCGGCGGCGCGACGAGUGUGGUGUAGCAGGAGGCAGCGGAGCUUCCCGCCGCUAACCGCGUCUAGAUUAGAUCGGGCUUCUGUAGGUGGGCGAAUAGGGCACGGCAGCGAACUUGGGCGUUCGUGCCCCUAACCCCCACCUCUCCUUUUAUACACACUGCACGAUGGGGGCUCGCAACCAUAGAUUGGUUGUGCGCCCCUUAUCAGGACGCGAGAUAGGGUCCGACUCGAUCAUUAGACUGAGUCGGGGUGGAGAUCAAACUAACAUUCUCCCCCUUGAUCUCACCUCAUACUUAAACUUAGUCUUAAAUUUAACUUAACACCCAUUUCAUCACAGAUCAAUGUAUAGAGCAUGUCUCGUCAUAAUAGUCAAUUACGUAUUAUCAUAUUCAACAGUUACAACACAUCUUUAUAUUUUGAAAUAGAUUCUUAUUCUAGGCCCUUAGUAUCCAAGAAUCACAGGCUUUUCCCGUAAACCCAUGCCGGCUAAGUGUUCUCUGAACACAUUGGGCGGUAAGCCUUUCGUGAGCGGAUCCGUGAGCAUUUCUUUUGUUCUUAUGUAUUCUAGACUUAUGGUAUGAUUCUGGAUUUUCUCUUUCACAACAUAAUGUGUUUGGCAGCACCACUUGACUUAUUGUUGUGAGCAUAAAUACUGCUGGCUCAUUGUUGCAGUACAUCUUGAGUGGUCUUUGAAUGUUGUCUACCACUCUCAACCUGGGUACAAAUUUCUUCAUCCAUUUUGCCUGCCCAGUGGCCACAUAACAAGCUACAAACUCGGCAUAGAUCAUGGACGAUGCUAUAACGGUUCGCUUAGAGCUUUUCCACGAUAUAUUUCCACCUGCGAGAGUGAAUACAUAACCUAAUGUGGACUUUCUAUCGUCUACAUCUCCCGCAAAAUCUGAAUAUGAGUACCCUUCUAUUUUAAGGGAAUCAGUUCUUCUGUACGUUAACAUGAGGCCUUUCAUGCCUUGCGUAUAACGCAAUGCCUUAUUUACCAUUCUCCAGUGUAACGCCCGCAAAAAUCACUAACUAAAAUCACCCGUUAAAAACCGUCUUUAAAAUCUUUUUACCGCUGAGCUCCCGGAAAUCGGAAACCUCCCCGGCGAUUUCGCCGUCCCGGUACCCAUGCCGACCCCCACCUAUCUUUUUAUCUGUGCCCGCGAAUCUCGCCGUGUGCCGGUGUCAGACGCCGUGCGCGUGCUCCGACCGCGUGCCGCGAGUGCCGCCGGUCUCUUCCUUUUUUUUUUCCUCCCCUUUCUCCUUUCUUUUUCCUUCUUCUUCUUCCCCUUCUUUCUUCUUCUUCCUCCCUCCUUCUUUCUCUCUCUCCUCCUUCUCUUCCUGGCGCCACUCCCUGGCCGGCCCCUCCCCAUUACUACCCGGCGCCACCCCCUUCCUGGAGCCACGCCGCUCGGCCUCCCCGCGCGUGGGCCCCGUCGGCCGGCCCGGCGUCGGCCACGCCGCCGCCCCCCUCGAUCCGCGCGCCCGGUCCGGACCCCGGCCGCCUGCUCCGGCGCCGGCCUCCCCGGCCCCGCUCGCCGCUCCCCCAAGCCGGCCGUCCCGGCCCCGCACCACGCCGCCUCGCCGGCCCAACCUCCCGCACGGCACGCCACCGGUGCCGUGGCCAUCGAGCUCCCACCGCUGGCCAAAUAACCGGCCCCUACCUCCGGCCACCACCCCGUCGGCCUAUAAAUAGGGGCACGACCGGCCUCCCCUUGCCAAGCCACUCCCCCCAACUCGCCACCUCCACCCGGUGCCGCCGUCGCCGCCCCGCCGCCGCCGCAUUCCGCGCCGCCGCCGCCGCACACCUGCCGUCGCCGCCGCCCCACGGGCGCCUGUGCCCCGCCCUCCUCCGACACCACCUACCCGAGGUGAGGCAGAUGGAGCGCCCCCUCAGCUCCCUUCGCCGCCCCUCCGCCCCACGGCUCGCCGCCGGCGGCGCCCCACCGGCCGACCGCCGGCCCACUCUCUCCCUCCCUCUCUCUUCCUCUGUUUCCUGGAAGAAGAAGGAGCCAAAACUCCAAGAAUUCCGAUCUAACCCCCAAGUUUCCCCAAAUUACACAUAAGCCCCUCCACUUCCGAAAGAAAUUACAAAUAGGUCCCUGGUUUAUUAAAAAUCAGCCCUAAACCUCCGUUUAAGCCCCUAAUCAAUGUUUAACCCGUCAUUUCAUGCGCCAAACUCCCUCCAAUUAAUCCCAAAUUUUACCACGUCAUCCUCCAGAAUACUUUCGCCGAUCCAUAUCCAAAUUUCCCAAAAAUAUCCCCUCUACCUAUUUUCCGUUCGCGUUUCCUGUUCGGAGCUCUCGGUUAAAAAUCGUUUCCUCUUUUAUUUAUUCGUGUGCCUGUUUGUGUGUGCCGUAGAUCGCGGAUUGCCCGAGGAGGAGCCCGAGGAAGAGUUUGACCGCGAGCCCGAGUCCGAGGACCUGUACCGCGAGCCGGAACUCCCGGAAGGCUUUGAAGACGGCAAGUCCAAUCUCACCCUUUGAUGCAUACUUAAUACCUAGUUUUUCAAACACAACCUAUUGGCCUGUUUUACAAAAUGCAUAUUAUUUUAUCGCAAGACAUGGUUGGUUAGCCACCCCUUGAUUGAUAUAAACAUUCCUUGUUGUCCUAUGCUUAUCUCUAAAUAUGACUCGCUCUGUUUAGAUGAUAACCACUGCUAGAACGCUUAGGAAAUUGUUACUCAAUUGCAAUCCUUAUUACAAUGGUGUUUUCGGAAAAUAAAUGUGUGUGUGUGUCCAAGUAAGAGGAAUGGCUUUUCGGUUCGGGAAAAGAAAUGUGUGGACGGGAUGGAUGGGUGUUCCUUGUGUGGGAUGCCAUGUUGUUGUGCUCGUACCUUGGUGGUUGAGCAAUGUCGGGGGAUAUCCAUCCGGUCGAAAUUAAGGACCGAGUUAAUGUGUCAUCUUGCCUAAUUCCACUAUCGUGCAACCACUCGACCGUUGUAUGGGCAACGGCUUAGCAUAAAUCCCACUAGCUGGAUGGUUAGUCCUCAGGAGUGCUGGUGAGCAACGGGAACCCACGGAAAAGGAUUAAGAUCUUGGUGACUUAAGUCCCGGUUACGGUCUCCUGAGCGAGCCGUGAACCCCUUGGGUGUUUCCGUGAGAACUAGCCAGUCUUAGCUAAGGUGGGUAAUGGCUUUGUUAGGAUCCGUACCGUCACUAAGGUGAUUGUGCUACGGUACCCUACUUGUGGGAAAAGUGUACACCCUCUGCAGAGUUAAAACCUAUCCGGGUAGCCGUGUCCACGGUAUUGGACGAAUUACGGCUUGGUCACAUAACUAGUGUUUGGGCAAGAAUGUCAUGAGUGUGUGUGUGUGUGUGUGUGUGGAAUUUCAGAAGAGUCCGGCAGUUGUGCCGUGCGCUAUGACGGACGGGGAGUCCGAUAGCGAUAAAAACUUGGAUCCUUUGUGUAGAAUCAACCCCACUCAGUAUUUCGGGUAUUAAAGGAAACUUUUCAAAAACCCUUUCAAAAAUGAUCCCCUGCAUGUGUUAAAAAUUAGCUUUUCCGCAAAAUGAACCCUAGCCUACCCUUGUUAUACUUGUGCAUAAUCUUGCUUGUAUCCCCUCCGUGGAUGGGGUUGGACUUGUUGAGUACGUUAGUACUCACCCUUGCUUCAUUACUACAGAAGAAGACCCUGAGUUCGUCGCAGAAGACCUCGAGUAGAGGUUGUGUCCGCACCCGACGCUGCCUGUGGUGUUGCCCUGCCCAAGAUGCUGCUGCUGCCGUGUAGUCCCGAGUGCUGUCUUUUGGCAGUCGCUUGGUUAGCCGCCGUUGUCUAUUUACUGUUUAUCGCUGCGUGGCUUUCACGCCCACUCCCUCGGGAGUUGUACGGUAACUGAAUUAUCUGUCGAAUAAAUGUGUUAUCAGCCUCCUGGGACUGAUAUUUGUAUCACAUUUAGUCUCUACUUAUGUGGGGACGCUUCAGGUGGUAUCAGAGCCGUCGUUGGCUGUAGGACGCGACCUUAGGACCGGAUUAGCCCUUUUUGACCAAAACAAAAGAAUUACAAAAUUUCUCCCUACCUUUGCUCUAUUGUAAAACUAAUUUGUGCCCCGGAACUUUUCCAGAUGGCCGAGGAAGGAUUUUGGACCCACAGCCGUUGCACGGAGGAACCCGGUUUUCCCAAGCUACUGCUGGUCUGCUUGAAGCGCCUAGGUAUUCGAGAGCCCCCGGAGUGUUCCAGCAGGGAAUACGAGCGCUACGGUAUUCCUCAGUGUGAAGUAAUCAUCCACAUUGGGAGGAGUGCUCGCUACCCCAACAUCGAGCCACUCCAAGUGUCAGCUAUGGGAUUCCGACACCGGGACACCUACCCAGUAGCGGCUCGCAAAGCUCUCGGUUACCUAUGCUAGAUGUACGAGAUGCACCUUGAGCCCACAUCCAUGAGGUACUUUCCGCCCGCCGAAAAGGACCAUCCGGGUUGGAGAGCCCGAAUGAGGGCCUUGGAUGAACACGGACGGCGCGAAGAGGACGCCACCAUCUAUCACAUGGCCGCCUACCUUGUCAGCUUGGAUAGACUCUAUGAUCAGCAAGCUGUAAAGCUGAGGCAACAAGUCCGCCAUGUCGAGAGGACGGAGAUUCACAUAAGGAUGCUUCAAGCGAUGCUAAGGGAAUCAAGAGCACAAGUAGCAACUGCUCGAAGUGCAGAAAAUGCAGCCAUGGAAGCCCUUAAACGAGCUCAGAGUCAGCACCUCCGAGAGCUCAAGGAGGCGCAUCUCAGUGGGAUUACUAAAAGAUGGAUGGUCACCCCGGAGGCCGAAGGGCCUCCUGGCACUGAAGGAAAUCCUCUCGCACUCGAGCACUACAAGUACCAUGGUGCCCCAACCCCAUCAGUUGUCCCUUUUCCCGAUACUUCCAGAAGGGGCAUUGAUCUCACGGUGGGAGAAGCCGCAGAUUUCCCUCUCGAGUGCGAAGCAUGGAGCAAGGACGAUGAGCCAUCCCUUCUCAUUCCAAUGGAAGACCACUUAGUCCAGGGAGAAGACUCGCCCCGUGAGUAGUAUGCCCAACCAGGAUUGCCCAGGGAAUGAAGCCGUCAUGGUCCUCAGUUUAGAGUUGUACCCCCCAGUUGUGCGGUUAUAACCGGUCGUGUAGUGCGUGUUUUGGCCUUACCCCAGCAGUGUUGUACCCCCCCCCCCCGUGGCAGAAUAAAUAAAAUCGUUUGUGUUUGUUGCUUGUUAGUCUGUGUGUUUGUCGACAGAAGGUGGAUUCUGUCUCUUCGAAAAUACGAAAUAACCACUUUAAAGAUCACUAAAAUCCAAAUCAUACUCUCAUGAAAAGGUCUCACUCAAUCUGCAGAUGCCGCCCAAGCGUGCCACCAGGACUUCCCCAAGUCAGGCUCAUGCCUCCCCCAGUGCAGAGAGGCAGCCCGAAAGGCAAGAACCGCCUCCGGCAGUACUCCCUGAGGAGCAGGAAGUAAGCCAGCCAGAAGGAAGGGGAGAAAGCCAAGUGGGAACGCAGCAGCCACCGCCCCCACCGGUCAUCGAUCUGGUUCAAGUGAUGAACAACCAGACCCUUCUGCUGGAAUCUUUAGCCAACGCCGUGACUCGCCAGAGGCCCCGCGGGCAGAAUAUGAAUGAGAAGUUGACGGACUUUCUCCGGACCAAGCCACCUACUUUUGGCGGGUCUGUUAACCCUCUGGACGCGGAUGACUGGCUGCGCGUCAUCCAGAGGAAACUGGAACCCUUUGGGUGUGAGAGCAGGGACAAAGUCCUCUUGGCUGCCCACCAGCUCACUGGAACUGCCCUAGCUUGGUGGGAGAACUACUGCUCUGCCGCCCAGGAUGCCUCUACUAUCACCUGGGAUGAGUUCGUGACGGAAUUCCGUCGCUACCACAUCCCCGCCGCCACCAUGAAGCGCAAGGCGGAUGAGUUCCGUGAACUCCGCCAGGGCAACCGAUCUGUGGAGGAGUACACCUUCCAGUUCAUGGAGCUGGCCCGUUAUGCUCCGGAGGAGGUGGACAAGGACGAGAAGAAGCAGGACAUGUUCAAGAAAGGCUUGAACGCGGAAUUUAGGACCCUGCUCACUCCUCAGAUCUACCCCGACUUCAACACCUUGAUGAACAUGACCAUCUUGACUGAGAGGGCCAAGGCAGAAGGGCGGAGGGACAACAAGCGUCGGUUCCUGGAAAACAAGGCACACCAACAGGACCGAUUCCAGAAGCCAAGGAGCUUCGGUCACCCCUUGCCCAGAUCCCAAGCUCCCAUGCAUUAUCGGACCCAGUCCCAAGCAUCUGGUUCGCAUCAUACUGCUGCCCCAUUCAGGAGCCAGAACUCCAUCAAGGCCCCACAGAGCAGUGCCAGCCAGGUCACCAGCAAUGGUAGGGCAUGCUUCAACUGCAGAGAGCCAGGGCAUUUCAUCGCCAACUGCCCCUAUGCCAACAAGCCAGCAGCAUCAGCCUUGUCCAACUCAGUAGCUGGGCCCAGGGCCGCAUUGUCAGGAGCCAACCGUGUGCCAGUCCGCAGCAGUGGCAACCCCAGCAACAACAACAGCCAGCAGAUGAGGCCGCCCCAGCAGUCAUUCGGACGAGCCCGCGUCAACCACAUCGGCGCGCAGGAGGCUCGCGAAGCUCAGGGCGUGGUACUCGGUGAGUUCCUAGUCAGCUCAGUCUUGGCAACAGUACUUUUUGAUUCUGGAGCAUCCCAUUCCUUCAUAUCCUCAAGUUUUGUGGAGAAACAUCAUAUACCUACAGUACUACUAAAGUUACCCCUAUUAACCCGGACCCCUGGGGCCGACAUUCAGUGUCGACUAGGCUGUUCCCGGGUAAGGAUCAAUUUAAGUGGGGUAGAAUUUCUAGCGGAUCUAGUAGUACUUAAGUCUAAGGGGAUAGAUGUGAUCCUUGGAAUGGAUUGGUUAAGCCUGCACGACGGUCAUAUAGGGUGUGCUGAUAAGGUGGUGCACCUGACCAAUCAAGAUGGUGUGCAAGUGACCUGUCACACUAAGGGAAGUGGCCCAGACCCCAUGGUGUUCAGCAUGGAGACUAAGAUCUUAGAAGAGGUUCCGGUAGUGAGUGAAUACCCGGACAUCUUUCCUCAGGAACUACCUGGAAUGCCCCCUAACAGAGACAUAGAUUUCGUAAUUGACCUUGUCCCCGGAACCUCCCCUAUAGCCAAGAGACCCUAUAGAAUGGCAGCCCCAGAGUUAGCCGAGCUGAAGAAACAGUUGGGAGAAUUGCAACAGAGUGGUUUUAUCAGGCCCAGCUCGUCCCUGUGGGGAGCCCCUGUGCUUUUUGUCAAGAAGAAAGACGGGAGUAUGAGGAUGUGCGUGGAUUAUCGCGCAUUGAAUGAGGUCACCAUUAAGAACAAGUACCCCCUCCCUAGAAUAGAUGACCUAUUUGACCAACUAAAGGGAGCCAAGUAUUUCUCCAAGAUAGAUCUGAGAUCGGGGUAUUAUCAGCUCAAGAUCAAGGAGAGCGACAUCCCGAAAACCGCCUUUGUCACUCGUUAUGGUCAAUUUGAGUUUACAGUGAUGUCCUUUGGAUUAACCAAUGCACCUGCUUAUUUCAUGAAUCUCAUGAACAAGGUGUUUAUGGAUGAGUUAGAUAAGUUCGUCGUAGUCUUUAUAGACGACAUACUUAUUUACUCCAAGAGUGUUCGCGAGCAUGAACACCACUUACGGGUGGUCUUGGAAAAAUUGAGAGCCCACCGACUCUAUGUUAAAUUCAGCAAGUGCGAAUUUUGGCUUGAGAAAGUGGCAUUCCUUGGUCAUAUCUUGACCACGGAAGGAGUAGCAGUUGAUCCUGAGAAGGUGGAAGCCGUCUCCAACUGGCAGCAGCCCACUAAUGUUAGUGAAAUCAGGAGUUCCCUGGGUUUAGCUGGAUAUUAUCGGAGGUUUAUUGAUGGAUUCUCCAAGAUAGCCCGGCCCAUGACAGAGUUGCUCAGAAAGGACAAGAAGUUCACCUGGACCGAGUCAUGUGAGCGGAGUUUCCAGGAGCUGAAGAGAAGGUUGACAACAGCCCCAGUGCUGACCUUGCCAGAUAUCCAGCGAGACUUCGUCAUCUACUGCGAUGCAUCUCGACAAGGAUUAGGCUGUGUCCUCAUGCAGGAUGGGAAGGUCGUGGCAUAUGCUUCCCGACAGCUUAAGCCCCAUGAGCAGAACUACCCAACCCAUGACUUGGAAUUUGCAGCCGUAGUGCAUGCCCUCAAGAUCUGGAGACAUUAUCUGAUUGGGAAUAAGUGUGAAAUCUACACUGACCAUAAGAGCCUAAAGUACAUCUUUACCCAACCUGACCUGAACUUAAGGCAGAGGAGGUGGCUAGAGCUGGUAAAGGACUACAACCUGGAAAUCCAUUACCACCCUGGCAAAGCUAAUGUGGUAGCUGAUGCCCUAAGCAGAAAGUCCUAUGGACAGCCCGGACCCGAGAAUGCCCGUCUACGAGAGGAAAUGGCCCAGUUGAAUAUGCAUAUCAUUCCCCAGAAUGCUAGCCGUAGGCUAAGUGUCCAGCCCACAUUGGAGGAUAAAAUCCGAGAAGCCCAGGGUUCAGACCAAGAUCUAGUAAAAAUCCGCAAGCAGACCGGAGAAAAUAAAGCCCCGGAUUUCAGGGUAGAUGACAAGGGAACCUUGUGGUAUAAGAACAGAAUUUGUGUCCCUAAGGACGGAGAAUUCCGGCAGACCAUCAUGGAUGAAGCCCAUAACUCGGCAUACUCCAUUCACCCCGGAUCCACCAAGAUGUACAUGGACUUAAAGCAAAAGUACUGGUGGAAUGGGAUGAAGGCAGACAUAGCUCAGUUUGUCGCCCGGUGCGAUACCUGCCAAAGAGUCAAGGCCGAGCACCAGAAGCCAGCCGGCUUGCUACAACCCUUGCCUAUCCCGGUUUGGAAGUGGGAUAAGAUUGGCAUGGAUUUUGUAGUAGGCUUGCCCAGAUCUCAGAGGGGAAAUGACUCCAUAUGGGUAAUAGUGGACCGACUCACCAAGGUUGCUCACUAUCUGCCCGUACGGACCACUUACGGUGGAGAAAAACUGGCUCGACUCUACGUCGACAACAUAGUGAAGUUGCAUGGUGUGCCCAGCCAGAUCGUCUCAGAUAGAGGAACUCAGUUCACCUCUAGGUUUUGGAGGAGCCUACACAAAGCCAUGGGCACCAAACUGGAUUUUAGUUCAGCUUAUCACCCCCAGACCGAUGGCCAGACCGAACGGGUAAACCAGAUCAUGGAAGAUAUGUUGAGAGCGUGUGUCCUCACCUAUGGAAAGGAUUGGGAACAAAGUCUACCCUAUGCAGAAUUCUCAUACAACAAUAGUUACCAAGCCAGUCUAGGCAUGUCACCAUUUGAGGCCCUUUAUGGUAGAAAGUGUCGGACCCCUUUGAUGUGGUCAGAAGUCGGAGAGCGUUCCCUGCUCGGACCAGCUUUUAUCAAGGAAGCUGAAGACCGUGUAGCAGAGAUCCGAGAGAAGUUAAAGGCUGCACAGUCCAGACAGAAGAGCUACUCUGACAAGAGAAGACGGGAAUUGUGCUUCAAUGAGGGAGAUUUUGUCUACCUCAAGGUAUUCCCGAUUCGGGGUACGCGAAGGUUUCAGGUGCAAGGAAAGCUAGCCCCUCGGUACAUUGGACCGUACCAGGUGUUAAAGAGAGUGGGAGCCGUAGCAUACCGUAUCCAACUGCCUGAAGAAAUGUCGGAUAUACACCCGGUAUUCCAUGUCUCCCAGCUAAGGAAAUGCUUGAGAGUACCGGAGGAACAAGUACCGGUGGAAACAAUAGACCUACAAAAGGACCUUCGGUAUCAAGAAGUACCUGUCAAGAUUUUGGACACUGUCACCAGAAGGACAAGGAAUACAGCAGUCCGGAUCUGCAGAGUACAGUGGAGCAGGCAUGGCAAAGAAGAGGCCACGUGGGAACGCGAGGACGCGUUAAAGAAGGAAUUUCCCCAUCUCUUCAGGACUCAGUCGAAUCUCGAGGACGAGAUUCAAUUUAAGUGGGGUAGGUUUGUAACGCCCGCAAAAAUCACUAACUAAAAUCACCCGUUAAAAACCGUCUUUAAAAUCUUUUUACCGCUGAGCUCCCGGAAAUCGGAAACCUCCCCGGCGAUUUCGCCGUCCCGGUACCCAUGCCGACCCCCACCUAUCUUUUUAUCUGUGCCCGCGAAUCUCGCCGUGUGCCGGUGUCAGACGCCGUGCGCGUGCUCCGACCGCGUGCCGCGAGUGCCGCCGGUCUCUUCCUUUUUUUUUCCUCCCCUUUCUCCUUUCUUUUUCCUUCUUCUUCUUCCCCUUCUUUCUUCUUCUUCCUCCCUCCUUCUUUCUCUCUCUCCUCCUUCUCUUCCUGGCGCCACUCCCUGGCCGGCCCCUCCCCAUUACUACCCGGCGCCACCCCCUUCCUGGAGCCACGCCGCUCGGCCUCCCCGCGCGUGGGCCCCGUCGGCCGGCCCGGCGUCGGCCACGCCGCCGCCCCCCUCGAUCCGCGCGCCCGGUCCGGACCCCGGCCGCCUGCUCCGGCGCCGGCCUCCCCGGCCCCGCUCGCCGCUCCCCCAAGCCGGCCGUCCCGGCCCCGCACCACGCCGCCUCGCCGGCCCAACCUCCCGCACGGCACGCCACCGGUGCCGUGGCCAUCGAGCUCCCACCGCUGGCCAAAUAACCGGCCCCUACCUCCGGCCACCACCCCGUCGGCCUAUAAAUAGGGGCACGACCGGCCUCCCCUUGCCAAGCCACUCCCCCCAACUCGCCACCUCCACCCGGUGCCGCCGUCGCCGCCCCGCCGCCGCCGCAUUCCGCGCCGCCGCCGCCGCACACCUGCCGUCGCCGCCGCCCCACGGGCGCCUGUGCCCCGCCCUCCUCCGACACCACCUACCCGAGGUGAGGCAGAUGGAGCGCCCCCUCAGCUCCCUUCGCCGCCCCUCCGCCCCACGGCUCGCCGCCGGCGGCGCCCCACCGACCGACCGCCGGCCCACUCUCUCCCUCCCUCUCUCUUCCUCUGUUUCCUGGAAGAAGAAGGAGCCAAAACUCCAAGAAUUCCGAUCUAACCCCCAAGUUUCCCCAAAUUACACAUAAGCCCCUCCACUUCCGAAAGAAAUUACAAAUAGGUCCCUGGUUUAUUAAAAAUCAGCCCUAAACCUCCGUUUAAGCCCCUAAUCAAUGUUUAACCCGUCAUUUCAUGCGCCAAACUCCCUCCAAUUAAUCCCAAAUUUUACCACGUCAUCCUCCAGAAUACUUUCGCCGAUCCAUAUCCAAAUUUCCCAAAAAUAUCCCCUCUACCUAUUUUCCGUUCGCGUUUCCUGUUCGGAGCUCUCGGUUAAAAAUCGUUUCCUCUUUUAUUUAUUCGUGUGCCUGUUUGUGUGUGCCGUAGAUCGCGGAUUGCCCGAGGAGGAGCCCGAGGAAGAGUUUGACCGCGAGCCCGAGUCCGAGGACCUGUACCGCGAGCCGGAACUCCCGGAAGGCUUUGAAGACGGCAAGUCCAAUCUCACCCUUUGAUGCAUACUUAAUACCUAGUUUUUCAAACACAACCUAUUGGCCUGUUUUACAAAAUGCAUAUUAUUUUAUCGCAAGACAUGGUUGGUUAGCCACCCCUUGAUUGAUAUAAACAUUCCUUGUUGUCCUAUGCUUAUCUCUAAAUAUGACUCGCUCUGUUUAGAUGAUAACCACUGCUAGAACGCUUAGGGAAUUGUUACUCAAUUGCAAUCCUUAUUACAAUGGUGUUUUCGGAAAAUAAAUGUGUGUGUGUGUCCAAGUAAGAGGAAUGGCUUUUCGGUUCGGGAAAAGAAAUGUGUGGACGGGAUGGAUGGGUGUUCCUUGUGUGGGAUGCCAUGUUGUUGUGCUCGUACCUUGGUGGUUGAGCAAUGUCGGGGGAUAUCCAUCCGGUCGAAAUUAAGGACCGAGUUAAUGUGUCAUCUUGCCUAAUUCCACUAUCGUGCAACCACUCGACCGUUGUAUGGGCAACGGCUUAGCAUAAAUCCCACUAGCUGGAUGGUUAGUCCUCAGGAGUGCUGGUGAGCAACGGGAACCCACGGAAAAGGAUUAAGAUCUUGGUGACUUAAGUCCCGGUUACGGUCUCCUGAGCGAGCCGUGAACCCCUUGGGUGUUUCCGUGAGAACUAGCCAGUCUUAGCUAAGGUGGGUAAUGGCUUUGUUAGGAUCCGUACCGUCACUAAGGUGAUUGUGCUACGGUACCCUACUUGUGGGAAAAGUGUACACCCUCUGCAGAGUUAAAACCUAUCCGGGUAGCCGUGUCCACGGUAUUGGACGAAUUACGGCUUGGUCACAUAACUAGUGUUUGGGCAAGAAUGUCAUGAGUGUGUGUGUGUGUGUGUGUGUGUGUGUGGAAUUUCAGAAGAGUCCGGCAGUUGUGCCGUGCUCUAUGACGGACGGGGAGUCCGAUAGCGAUAAAAACUUGGAUCCUUUGUGUAGGAUCAACCCCACUCAGUAUUUCGGGUAUUAAAGGAAACUUUUCAAAAACCCUUUCGAAAAUGAUCCCCUGCAUGUGUUAAAAAUUAGCUUUUCCGCAAAAUGAACCCUAGCCUACCCUUGUUAUACUUGUGCAUAAUCUUGCUUGUAUCCCCUCCGUGGAUGGGGUUGGACUUGUUGAGUACGUUAGUACUCACCCUUGCUUCAUUACUACAGAAGAAGACCCUGAGUUCGUCGCAGAAGACCUCGAGUAGAGGUUGUGUCCGCACCCGACGCUACCUGUGGUGUUGCCCUGCCUAAGAUGCUGCUGCUGCCGUGUAGUCCCGAGUGCUGUCUUUUGGCAGUCGCUUGGUUAGCCGCCGUUGUCUAUUUACUGUUUAUCGCUGCGUGGCUUUCACGCCCACUCCCUCGGGAGUUGUACGGUAACUGAAUUAUCUGUCGAAUAAAUGUGUUAUCAGCCUCCUGGGACUGAUAUUUGUAUCACAUUUAGUCUCUACUUAUGUGGGGACGCUUCAUCCAGUGAUCUAUUCCUGGAUUAUCCUGAUAUCUGCCAAGUAUCCCGGUAACAAAAGCUAAGUUAGGGCAUGUACAUACUUGAGCAUACAUUAAGCUUUUGACAGCUGAAGCAUAUGGAACCGCUUUCAUUUGAUCGAUCUCAUAUUGGUUCCUAGGACACUGAAAUUUCUCAAAUCUAUUGCCCUUGACUAUGAAAGUAGGCGUAGGCUUACUUGCAUGCAUACUAUACUUCUUUAGAAUCUUUUCUAAGUAUGCCUUCUGCGAUAAUCCUAUAACCCCCUUUCUUCCAUCUCGAUGAAUUUCAAUUCCUAAAAUGAAUGAAGCUUCACCAAGAUCUUUCAUAUCAAAGUUCGAGGAUAAGAACUUCUUCGUCUCGAAUAACAGACUAACAUCACUACUAGCAAGUAGGAUAUCAUCCACAUAAAGGAUGAGGAAAAUGAAUUUACCACUCUUAAACUUUGCAUAAAUGCAAUUGUCCUCCUUAUUCUCAUUGAGCCCAAACUUUCUUAUUAUCCCAUCAAACUUCAAGUACCAUUGUCUGGAGGCUUGUUUUAAUCCAUAAAUGAAUUUCUUCAGGUGGCAUCCCAUACGUUCUUUUCCUUCCACGACAAAAUCUUUGGGUUGUGCCAUGUAAAUAUUUUCUUCCAAAUCUCCAUUGAGAAAAGCCGUCUUUACAUCCAUCUGAUGUAAUUCUAAAUCAUAGUGCGCCACUAAAGCUAUUAUAAUUCUAAAAGAAUUCUUACAUGAGGCUGGAGAAAAAAUCUCAUUAUAUUCUAUUCCUUCUCUUUGCAUGAAGCCUUUUGUUACAAGUCGUGCUUUAUAUCUUUUGACAUUCCCUUUGGAGUCACAUUUUGUUUUUUAGAACCAUUUACAACCUACUGUCUUGACUCCUUUAGUAAAUUCUUCUAAAUCCCAGACUUUGUUGCUACUCAUAGAUCUCAUUUCAUCUUCCAUGGCUUCAAGCUAUUUCGAUGAGUGAGCGCUUCUCAUGGCUUCUUCAAAUGAGGUGGGACCUCCCUCCAUUUGAACUUCUUCACUGACAUAGACUUCAUGGUCAUCAGGUUCCUCAACAUUUGGCACAUCCUCCAUUUGGGGCUGUUGCAGCUCUUCCUCAUGUGUGACAACAGGUUCUAUAGGAUCCUGAAGGACAGGUUCCUCAUACUCAUUUGUUGUUGUCAUGAGAGAACUACAACAGGUGAUGUAACUGCAGUGUUCUGCACUAUCGGUGCAGCAACAACAGGUAUCGAGAAAAAAGGUUUUCCUGAAUCAUCGGAGUGGGUACGUGUACCCGCUUCUCCUCAAGGCUAAUUUCUCAGGGUACCGUGCUCCCCCUAAUCAUCUCAUCCUCCAAAAAGACAGCGUGUCUCGUUUCUACAAACUUAGUAUGUUUGUCAGGAUAGUACAAACAAUAACCUUUUGACUUAUCUGGGUAGCUAAUGAAAUGACAACCGAUUGCCUUAGAAUCUAUUUUCCAAUAUUUGGGUUAAACACUUUAGCCUCAGCUGGACAGCCCCACACACGCAAAUAAUUAAGUGAGGUCUCUCGUCCAAUCCACAACACAUACGGUGUUUUAGACAACAACUUACUGGGAACUCAAUUAAGAAUGUGAAUUGCGGUUUUUAACGCCUCCAUCCACAAACUAAUCGGUAAAGUGGAGUAACUUAUCAUACUUCUCACCAUAUCCAUUAAGGUACAGUUAUGUCUUUCAGCUACUCCAUUCUGCCGAGGCUCGCCCGGUGUAGAGUACUAGGCAACUAUGCUAUUUUCCUAUAGAAACCUUGCAAAAGGUCCAGGAACUUGGCCAUAUGGGGUAUGUCGACCGUAGUACUCCCCCCACGAUCAGAUCUUACUAUCUUAAUCUUUAAAUUAUGCUGAUUUUCUACUUCAGCCUUAAAUAUCUUGAAUUUAUCCAAUGCUUCUGAACAUUCCUUAAUUGAAUAAAUAUAACCAUAACGUGAAUAAUCAUAUGUGAAUGUUAUAAAAGAAUCAUAACCAUCCACAGAUGUCACAGGAAAUGGACCACAUAUUUGUGUGAAUUAUUUCUAAAAUUUCUGUGCUUUGUUUGGCGUCUUUCUUAAAUUUUUUUAACAAACUUUCCCUUAAUGCAAUCGAUGCAUUGCUCUAAACCUGAAAAUUCUAAAGGUGGAAGAAUUCAUUCCUUAAUUAACCGUUCAAUUCUCCCCCUCAAAAUAUGGCCUAAAUGACAGUGCCAUAAUUUCGAAGAUACAUCAUCAAUUCUUUUCCGCUUAUUGGUUACAUUCAUGGAUGAGGAGGCAUUCACAUUGUCAACGCUUACAACAUUCACAUUCUCACAAAGUGAUAACAAAUAAAGCUUGUCUUGUCUAAAGGCAAGACCAACAAACUUAUUAUUAAACUUAAUUUUAUAUUGUCCAUCACCGAAAUGACAACCAAAACCAUCAUUGUCCAAGCGCGAUACACUUAUUAAAUUUCUACGCAAAGAGGGUACAUAAAAAACAUCUCUCAGAUGAAGUACAAAGCCAUUUGCUAAUUCUAAUGGGAUUUGUCCAAUGGCUUCGACUUCAGCUUUGACGCCAUUUGCUACUUUAAUGUUUCUUUCUCCUCUUUGCAGGAUCCUCCUCGUAUGGAAGCCCUGUAAUGAAUUUGCAACAUGAACAGUUCCACCUGAAUCAAUCCACCAGGUAGAUUUCGCAUAACUUAAAUACAAGUUCUCAUCUUCGAAUGUAAUAAGGUCCAUACCUCUCUUACACAGAAACUUUAAGAAUUCUACACAAUUCUUCCGAUAGUGUCCUUUCUUCUUGCACCACUUGCAAGUGUCCUUAUCCACUACCUCUUCAUGGUUUGAUCUUUGAUGGUGAUCAUUUAGUGGAGCCUUUCCAUGUGUCUUAGAAGAAAAGGUAUUAUUCCACUAAGGUUUUCCUUGUAGCUUAGAAUUACUAUUUUGAUAAUUUGUCUUCUUAUUUUGGCUCAGGUAAUUGAUAGAAUCAUCAUAUGAGCCCUUAAGUCUUUUCCUCUUCCUGCACACACAUGACAAUCAUCUUCUUAAUGCCCCACUUUUCUGGCUGUGAGUUGUAAUUAACAGCAAAAGCCUCAAACUCCUUGGGUAGGGAGGCAAAGAUCAAAUGGACUACGAACUCAUCUUUGAGCUCCAUGUCCAUAGGCUUAAGCUUGGAAGCCAUGUUGCUCAUUCUCAAUAUGUGCUUCCUUAUUCCACCACCAGUAUACUUCAUAGUAACAAGCCUCUUAAUAAGAGUACUUGCAUAAGCUUUUGAAGAGUUAGUAAAAUGACUCUCCACCUUUCUCAGGUACUCCCUGAUGGUGGUACACUCUGGGAUUGCACCUUAUUGCCUCCAAAAUGGAGCUAUUAAUCACCAUCAUGCACUUUCUGUUUGACUCAUGCUACUUCACACAAUCAAGGUCGUACUGCAUUCUAAUUGGUGCAUGAUCACGCACCCGAGCGUUGAAAUCAUCUCCGCUCUCAUUCUCAGCCCUCACAGGGUCCUCAGGAGCUAUGGGAUAGGGAUCAGUCAGUGCUAGAUCAAUAUCCGACAGCGCAAGCGCUAUUUCAAUCUUCUCUCACUAUAAGCCGUAAUUCUCUCCACUGAGAGGCUCUAUAGACGAGAUGUAACUCAAAGGAUUGCCUCCAAAUAAAAUUCAUAAAGAUUUGAGUUAAUUCAACAUUGGUCAAAUUAAAACAUAAAACUUCUCAUUAUUAAUUCCAUAUCACCGUUGAGUGGAAAUAUAAUCAACAAUGAUAAAAUAAAACUUACCAGUACAAUAAUUUUAUCAACAACGUUGGUCAGUAGAUAAAAUUAUCAUACUCAGAAAAAGUACUUAUUUUCUAAUUAAAUUUUCCCAUUGGUUCCAAUUUAAUUAGAGAAAUAGACUAAAAAACUUCAUCUUAAUGUAUAAAUUGGCAAAAUAAAGCAAAAAAAAUUCAACUUAACUUAAACUUAAUACAGCGGAAGUUUAAACUUAAUUUGUGAAUUUUACUCACAGGAAAACUCCUUAAAACUAAUUUUAUUUGAGCCACUAAUUCAAUUUCCAGGAAAAAUGCUAAAAACACUGGAAAAAAACAGGGGCUCAAUCUUCUCUGCUCUUUCGGCCCGAGUGAGGAAGCAACCCAGCGCGCGCAGUCGAACAGCGGCCCAGCUUCCCCCGCUCCGGCCUGCUACUUCUCUUGCUGGCCCAAACAGCAAUACGGCUCGGCCUAUGACCGCCGGAGCGCGCGCGGUGCCUCCCAGGCCACAACCUAGGCCUGGGCCGGCAAAGCCACCUCCCGCCUAUUCCAAAUCCCGGCAAGUGAUCUACACCGUCAGAUCGAAAUCGACAGCUGUCCAGCACUUUCGCGGGAUCAAAACCCACGAGCCGCUCGGCACCGGCCAAACUCUAGUCAUUCUGCUCCCUUCCUUCUCCUCUUUCAGUGCCGCCACACGAGCGAGUGCCGAGCGGCGGAGCCAAGCGGGGCAGGCGAGCGAGCGGCACUACGCCCGGCCCGAGGCUUCCCCUCGGCAGGCCCAUCUGUGGUGCCACCGUAGCUCCUUCCGCUGGUGGGUGACCACGAGUGAUGGCGCCGCUGCCGGUCCCCUCGCCGGCACGCGCGCUCGACCUAGGGUUAGCGCGUCGCCGUCGAGUGGUCCAGCGUCGGUGCCCUGGGUACCCGCCGCGCCUCUCCCUUCUUCUUCCUGGAGCGCAGAGUGGAUCCGGUAAGGUUCUGUCCUUUUUCUCACGGAUUCUUCCUCUUCUUAGGGUUAGGGUUUCUUCUUGCUACUGGCGGCAGUUGGUCCGAGAUCCGGCGGUUGUCGCCUUGGGUCUUGCGGUGGAGCGCCGCCAGCGGUCGUCACUGGAUCCAGCGGCAGCCGUUUUUAAAAAAAAAUUGCUGAAAUUUCUGAUUCAUCUCCUUCUAAAUGUUUCGAUUCAAAACCUCCUUUCCCCGACUAGAUGUAUACACUAGAACUGCUCUGAUACCAUUGAUAGGGUCAUAGGAUCACAACUAGCGGAUCAAUAACUUAAACUUUAGAUUAAAACAUUGUCUAAGAUUUACAUCAGAGAAAACAAAAGGAGAGAACGAGAGGGAGAGUAGAGAGAGAGUAGAGAUGUCAACCAUCGGUCUUAGUGCUUGAGCUCGCCAUGGAGAUGACGGCGGCGGCGACGACGCGGCGAGUGCGGUGUAGCAGGAGGUGGCAGAGCUUCCCGUCGCUAACAGUGAAUAGAUUAGAUCGGGUUUCUGUAGGUGGGCGAGUAGGGCACGGUAGCGACCUUGGGCGUUCGUGCCCCCAGCCCCCACCUCUCCUUUUAUAUGCGCUGCGCGACGGGGGUCCGCAAUCAUGGAUUGGUUGCGCGUCUCCGAUCAGGACACGAGAUUGGAUCCGACUCGAUCGUUGGACCGAGUCGGAGUGAAGAUCAAACUAACAUAUAGCAGUGCCGUUGAUGAACGCAUGCAAUUGUGCGCGGCGACGAAGAGUUGUCAGUUGUGCAGUGGAUAUUAUCGCCAGCUAAUGGCACGGAUUAAGUUGGGCAAAACCUUAUCUGGUGGGCGAAAAGCGAGCAGCAAUGAUGCAUCCGUAGCAUAGCAUUGUGGCCAGUGGCUCGUCAGUGAAUGGCGACUUGCAUUGCGCAUCAUGCAUGUACGUAUAGUCGUAUUGUGCACGACCCAAUUGCCCACGUUCUCAUCACGAGAUUAUGCUACUACUCCAAGCAUUGCUACAAUAAUGCACGGGAACCUGUGCAACGAAAUCUGGGACGCUGUCGCAUUUCCAAUGCGUUUUUGCCGCCUGUUCAGACAGACGCGCGCGCGAUAGGCAAGCAUGGAUGAUGGAUCUCAGGUCGGCCGGAACAGUCGUCGGUGCCCCGCGCGGCCGCGAAGAGGUAGCCUCCUCGUCAAGCUCCGGCAGGUCCCAGCCAGCGAGCAUUUGACGUGAGAGUCACGCUCACAGCCUGACACGCUAACGUUACGACGACGACCUUAUCUAGCUAUCUACAGACUACAGGCGGCAGCAGGAAACUGUCCACGUACGUAAUGAAUCACGCCGCGUGAUCACGGCGAUUAUCUUUUUCCCUCCAUCGAUCCCCAUCUGAUCUGCGUCGUAAUCAACACGCGUGUGCACGCUAACCCCAAGUCAAACAAGCCGUCAAACGAGUCUGCUGUGUGUAUGUUGCUUGGCAGUGACAUGUCUGAGCUAGGAGCUAACAUAACAUAAUCAAGUUUCUAUAUGGUUCGUGUCACCGUUCUGGAUGGAUGGGCAAAAAACCUUGAAAAAUUGGAUCGUAAGAAUUUAAUUAUUGAAUGUGGAUUGUGCUAUAACUUCUGUAAGUCUAGCACAUAUGUAAUUUGGCAUUGCUGAUGAAAUAGUUAUAACUUUUGGCUUUUUAAAUAAAAAUACCUAUUAUGUUAAGGUGGGGAAGGAGCACUUGUUAGGCCAGUCUCACUGCACAGUUUCAUUACAUUGUUACAAAGACCGAGAAUUUGAUAACUAAGCCUGGUGGGUGUCAUGGAAAUGAAACUCCUCUCUCAUCGAUAUCCUCGUAGUGAACUUGUCAAGUCAGCAAACAUAUUGACAUGGCAUGAAAUUUAAUACUAAUAAAAUUUCUAUGGAACUCUAUCAAGACUGGCCUUAUGCAUUUAAAAUUGUUUAAAAUUCAUACCCUGCAUGCUCUCACAAUCUCACUACUCGUCACUUUUUCGAAAAAACAAAUCUCACUACUCGUCUACUCUUAGGUUUUCUGAAAUAUAUAUAAUCACUGCACGCACCUUUGGGAGUCCUUCUUUUUGUAAUUAAAUGUGCAUUAUUGCAUACUUCGAUGUGUAGCGAGGGCAUACACUGAUAUGACAUCCAAGUUCAGCGUGCAUGCAUGUCAGCAUGUGUUAGCCAUUCAUGCGCAUACUGUUGUUAAUAUGAUCCUGAUGAUGAUACGCAUUUUCCCUGACCACAAAGCAUGUGUUUUAUCCGGCAUUAUUUCCUGAUCCCGACGAUCAGCGUGUGUCAAGCUCCAAUUAGGUAUGCAAAAAAAAGACUUCAAUUAUAGAACCUAAAGUAUGGUUGCGGAUUGGAGUAGUGGGGACAUUAUACAUUUAUGUAUAUAAAAAAAUGGAAAUGGUUAUCAUGAUACUGUCCCCCAGCAGCAGACUGCUCGGUCCUUUUCCAUUUCCAUUCGGAUCAGAUAUGAUCCUCUCCUUCUGCUUGGACUUUGCAAAAGGAAACUACAUGCAGCACUAGCAUUGAUCAUGAAGUGGCCAACGUGUAAAGUGAACAUUGCAAGGAUAAUGUGUCGCUUGCAUUCUGUCUAGUUUAUUUGAUUCGGGAUCAAGCAUCGAGCCCCGAUUGCACCGGUAAUAUAAUUUCUCCCUUUUGAAAAAAAAAAUCAAAUCAAAUCCCUUCACCUUGGUCUCAGAAAAAAGGAGGCGUCUGUCUCCAAAAACUUAUAACUGAUUUGUAAUGCGCCUGUUAUAUAUCUAUGUUCAAAACCUAAUAAAAAUUUGAGAUUCAUAUGGUCUAGACGUUUCUGAAGGGACUGUUGAUAAAAAAUAAAAGUAGUCAGGCAUCAUCUGUUAUUUUGGACUCAUCAACAUCAACCAGUACAAUGAUAGAGAGAAAGAAAGAGAUAUGUACAUACCCCGGCCCCCCACCUCCAGUUCCAUCAAACAGUUGUUGUAACAGAUUUACAAGAUCAUUAGCAGAUCCAUACACUUUUUAUUUAUUAGUAGUUAAUUCCUGGCCGUGCAAUUAUUCAGUUGUUUAAGUAUAUACAGCGUGCGUCCACAGGCCUAAUUGAUACAUUUCUUUGAUUUUGAUGGGGUUGGAUUUCGGCUUCUGUUCCUUUAGAUCUGUGUGCAGAUGUAUCUCCACCACGAACAUUAUCUAUGAUAAAGAUGUGAGCUUUAAUUUUCUAGCCUACUGCUGAUAUGAUCUUGUAUGAGUACUGCACCUACGUCUCAUUCAUACAGUAGCCUGCUCCAGCAGGCCAGUUGUUUGUCAUCAGCAUCAUGCGAACCAUCUCCCGGGCUGAAUAACCACAUGCUGCAGUCAGAAAACAGUUAAUCGGAUUAGAGAUUCAGAGAUAAACGCGCAGCUGCAGCAAUAGUGGAAGAAGAAGAAGAAGAAGACCGCAGCGCUGAUGGAGCGCGCGGCGACUUCCGUGAAGAAUUGGAGAACUUGCACGGCGAUGAUCACCUUGAUCUGCGUCCGGUUGUAGCAGGUGUAGGUGACGUGGAUGAGGCCGUCGCCGCUAGCUGGUGAUGACGGUCGGGUACGAGAACUCCAUGCCCGUGGCGUCCUCGAUCCAGCGUGAGGACGCCCUCCCUCCACGAGUCGCCGCCGUCGUCGGAGACGGCCACCAGCUUGAGCUGCCCCCUGGAGCGGGCGUUGUACGCGAGCACGAGACCACCGCCGCGCGUCCUGGUCCCGUCGAUGCCCGAGUUGGGGUUGGGCAGGGCGGUGGGAGCGGCCAGGUGGCGCCGCCGUCCUUGGACUCGGCCGUGUAGACCCUGCCGAGGCCGGUGGAGGAGCGCAUGAGCACGCGCAGGGUGCCGCUGGUGCUGGUGGCGUAGGGCGGUAGGGGUACGGCUGGAUCACGCCCUUCACGUCGAUCGGCUCGUGCCGCCGCCACGACCGCCCGUAGUCCCCCGUCACCUGCGAGAGAGAAAUCACCCGAUCGGAUAUUCGGAUCACUCGGUCGUUCGCGCGCUACCGGCGGGGCCGGCGGCGGAGGCGAGGCCGGCAGCCCCCCGGCCGUCGUGGGGCGCUGCUGGUCGGUCAGGCUUCCCUCCAUCGUGGGCCGAGAUAGGGUUUAUUGGGCUUUGUGUGGCUGAGCUCGGCAAGGCCGGCUUUUUGGUUUAAUAAGGCCUUCGUGCAUGGGCCGGGCACAAAAGAGAGUUCCCCACGAGUUCCACAGCUCUACUACACCGAGUCACCGACGAGCCGCACUGCAGUCGUCCGUCGCUCAACAGGAGUGGCUGCACGGUCACAAACACGUGCAUGAGAUGCAUUGCUUUGUUGCUGACUUGCUGAUAGACGAGAGACCGCAGUUCAAAUCUGAAUCAUAAAAAGGUGGAAAAGGUCCAAAUUGCUCCGGUGUAGCAGGCCGGACGUCGGCCGCGGCGGCGAGCACAGGCCGACGAGGAGCAAGAUGAGCUUGAGGCAAAGCUGAACAAAGUUGACCACACCGACCGUCCUCAAGGUCUGUCAUGUAUUAGUAGUAUAUAUGCACGGCAAAUAUGGAUUUUGGAUUUUUGGCGUUGUUUGGUCUGUAAGCUUCCAACAAUAUGGAAAUCACGGCGUUACGUUGUUCAAAUUCGAACACGAUUGAGUACGCAUGUUCUGCUCAAACUCUAUCUCAGUCAGUCGCCGCGAAGGAAGUUUGGCUGUUCAACGAUUGGGGACGAAACCACGGCGUUGUUCAGAUUCGAACACGAUUGAGCACAGCAAACCUGAUUGCAUGACAAUACCGAUAAAAGCGACAAUGUCACCGCCGGCAAUACGCCACAGGCAACUCCACACUAGCUAGCCAUUGGGAAAAAGGAAACAUGGGAAGAGACGAGCAGUGGUGUCGAGCAGAAGCUCCUCCAGGGCCCAGGCCCCAGUACGGUGCCGUGUAAUCCGUAUACCAUAUCCGUUUAGUUCCAAGUUCCAACAAACACAGCCGGACGUCCACCAGUUUUGUUGGUCAGAAACAACAACCCCUCGCGGCGGCCUGGCGUCAUGCCGUCAUAGCCCACGAGGAACCGGCCCCACCACCUCACGAGCAGCCCGCCGUCUACGCGGCAGCACCACGCCACGCGACCAUGCCCCGCCGGCCGACGUGUCCUCCGCCCGCCUCCCGCUCGUCCCUAUCCCAUGCAUCCCCACCCCGCGCGGCGCCACCUCGGGACGCGCAGUUCACGCACCCACUGCGCGCCGCGUUUGGCCUCACCCGCCCGUGGCCGUGCCCUUCCAAGCAGCCGAAGCUCCCCCGCUAUAUAACGGCGGCGGCAUCGUGCACUGCUCUGGCGUCACUCGAUCAUCCACAAAGCACAAGCUGUCACAAACUCGAAACCACACUUAGCUAUCAGUGAUGAUAAGAAAGUACGGUGGUGCCAUGGCUCGUCUUCUUGGCGCUUGCUGCAUCCUGCUCGCCGUCGUCAUGCUCGUGGCCGCGGCGCCGUCCGCGCGCGCCGACGACGAGCCGAACGGGAGCGGGGCGCGCAUCCGGCAGCCGAGCGGCGAGUGGCGCGGGAGGAAGGUGGGGGCGAGGACGGAGGUGCGGGACGUGGAGGGGGACGAGGAGGUGCAGGAGCUCGGCCGGUUCUCCGUCGCCGAGUACAACCGGCGGCGCGUCGGCGGCGGCGGCAGGCUCGAGUUCGCCAGGGUGGUCGCGGCGCAGCGGCAGGUGGUGUCGGGGCUCAAGUACUACCUCCGCGUCGCCGCGGAGGAGGAGGGUGGCGCGGAGAACGCCGGCAGCGGCGAGGGCGAGCGCGUGUUCGACGCCGUCGUCGUCGUCAAGCCCUGGCUCGAGUCGCGCACCCUGCUCAGGUUCGCGCCGGCUGCCCCGAAGUAGGUGUGGCGGCACCGAUCGAGAGUGUGUGCGUCUGUGACUUUGGCCGGUCUGCUUUCUCGCAGACUUUGGUGAGCGAAUAAAAGUCUUGUUUUUGUAAGGGUAGCAGAGAGUGAAGACCACAAUAACUUUGCGCUGCCGUAGAUGGUCUGAAUCUGAAGGCUAUUGUACAGAGAGAUGAGAGUGACAAUAAAAUGCUGUUCUGAAUCAGAAUUGUAUCUAUGUGUGCUCAUUGAUCCAAAUCAGUGAUGACCUGAGGCCAUUUGCCUACACAACUUUGUGCUAGCUUGGAACCCAUGGAUCAACAUUGCCACCGUCUUACUGCAGAACCAGAUCUAGCUGUGCCUCGGCAAGCAAAGGUCACGCGGCGGCCAUCGUGCACGUUUGUACUGUCUGCUUAAGAAGUCAGCUGGUUUUGAUGAGUCACGAUCCACACAGCAAGAAUGGAUAGCUGCAUCACGUUUGCAUUGCCAUGUUUCCACCUUUUUCGAUGCGACGUGGAGUCUUUUGUUUACCAAGGUUGUCGUAAAUCACGGGCUAUAGAAUUUAACGGAGUGUUAAAAAAAAAGCUCUAGGUGCUAUAACGCAGCUAUAGCCUUUACCACGUCUUUUGUUUACCAAGGUUGUCGUAAAUCGCGGGCUAUAGAAUUUAGCGGAGUGUAAAAAAAAAAAGCUCUAGGUGCUAUAACGCAGCUAUAACCUUUAGUGGUAUGAAAAAAUCAGCAAAAUUUAGACUUUAGUGGUAUGAAAAAAUCAGCAAAAUUUAGACGUAAACGUUAUCGAUUUCGUGAAUUCCAGCUCAUAUUUCCUAAGUACAUGCAGGCAUGAAAACGUAAACAAAUAAAUCGCAAUUCACAAGAUAAGUCAUAUAUUCAUAAUUUACAACUAUAGCGGCGGCUAUUAAAUUUAGCGAGGCUAUUUCAUGAUAUAUAAGCAUUAACGGUAAUAUUUGCAAUAUCGUGGCGGUACCUAUCUUAAAAAGUUAUAGCGGACUAUUUGCAACAUUGUUGCUUACCCGAAAGGCGGCUCAGUUAAACCGUACACGCAUGUAAAUACUCUCUUUGUAAGCAAUAAACAAAACCCAUCAUCAGUGUGGGGGAAAAAAAGGCGGCCAUACGUUUUGUCAACAUGUUUUUGUUCCGCUUGCGGCUUACCAGAAACGCUUCGCCUGCUCGUCACCUCGUCGGCACUCGGCAAGCUACGCCGGACAGCAGCAGAAUCCACGUGAAGCCUCCUUGCAGCGAGCGCCAAAGGCGCUGCAUGCUCGGCUAUUCCACCAGCCGCAGCAUGGUUCCAAGCGGUGGUGCAGGUGGGCACCUUGUUUCUAUACGUCAUACUGUCUUGUGCUCCUAGUCAGCUAUGAAGCAUCGCAAAGCUGACGAAAUGGCAUGGAUCUUCCUUUAACGAUUUGUUACUUUGCAAAAUUGUCUAUAGUUUAUCAAUCAAUCAAGUAAACUAAAUUAUGUAACUUAUGCAUUUGUCUUCGUUUUUCUUAAAGCUAGGCUCUGUUAGUCACUGUGAAGGGUCCAUAUGAGCGCAUUCCGAUCAAACUAUGGACAUGUUCUCAGUCUCAUCAAAAGGGGCGCCACAAAUUUCGACUUCUGUUAUGGCCUGUCAUCCGUUUCGGAACCACCUCAUAUAAGCUGCCUCACUUAUCAACUCACCGUAAAAGUUUGCUACCCAGUUUUUGACGAGCUUUUGCAGGUUCUGUUCGUCAAGUAUGAUACCCACCUUACGCAAGGCGAGCAAGCAACGCUGGACUUCGGUAGUUUUGCUUUGUCCAACGUGCCUCUGCUCAGCUACAAACCUACUCGACCUUGUUUUUGCAAGUGAUGCGCGCCGGAAAGGCAAUGAAACUGGCGAGACCAGGUUCGCCGCUUCGUCGAAGAGAGCGAUAACCUGCAACAACAGUGAAAGCCUACAGAUCGUUGCAGAUGGAGCAGACGUCACGCAGGCCCAGCACCAUCAGUUCCCGACAAGUGCCAUCAGCUACCUGAUUGAGAAGGAAGCACCGCGUGCUCCUCCAGCUCGGGCACGAAGGCAAUCUGCACGUCUCGUUCAAAAGUUAGUGCUAGCAAAACUGUGAAAUCAACACAUCAGAAGCACCAGCACCAAAAUGAUGCCAAACAGCCAGCCAUUCACACCAGCCCUAACUUCCACCUUGCAACAACACAUCAGAAGUACAGGUUUCUGAAGGACAUGCACAUUGCUCUCUUUAGUGAGUUGGUAAGUCCAUGAAUAUGUCCAAUGCUCCACUCCGCGUUAAGAGCAGCCUAAUGUUGUUGUUGUCCCUUUUGUUGUUUUUUCAUAUGUACUGCUCAGUAUGGGUCUAACUUCUUCACCAGUGUAAUAGGCAGCUCUCCUGCUCGUUCCUUUCAAGAAAAAAGAAGGCUAAUGUUCACUACAGUACUAGAGAGCUCUCAAUAGGACCACCAUAAUAGAAUAUUAGUAGGAUUUCCCUAGGAGCCCAAGCCCACACACUCGUUUUGCAUAAAACACAUCAGGUUAGUUUUGUUCCCCAAGAUUUUGGUACGGGUAUGCCUGUCAGUUCAAGCGUUAAGACUGAAGAAAGGUUUUUAUUACCUUUUACCUCUAUAAGCAGGGUCCAGGUCCUCUUAGGCCUUAGCUGUGGCUGAGGCCUCAGAUGAAAUCGCCUCCCAUAUGACCAACUCUAUAUACUUACCUCUUAUGAUAUUUACAGCACAUGAUCGUAAACUGUGUUUAUUGGUCAAAGGCAAACUGGUUAUCGUCUUCUACCACUUUAAAAUGUUGAGGGUGGCUACCAGAGCAAUAUAGAUGCCACAUUUUCAAAUAUGCCCUGUCCAGAUUCUUUACCUGCAAUAUUUUAAACCAAGGUGAAAUUGCUAACUCUGGAAAGGUAAGGUAUGCAGCAGAAACAAAACUGAAAUGUUACCCAUCGAGAUGUAUCAAACAAAGGACAGGUCAUCCGAACAGCCUUGAGCCUGUUUGUAAGAGCUUGAAGUUUUGAUGGAUUCGUGGCUAGAAAUACGGCCCUUUCCUCGUAUUCUGUCAGGCUGAAUAAUAGCAAAUAUUAGUUAUAACAAAAAAAAUUCAACGAUAAGAGGAAAAAAGUACAUGUUCUUAGCUGAGAAGUCUAACCUAUCGACUAUCAUUUCUUCCCCGACCCCCGUAGCUAUACAGAGGGAACCUGCAACCCUUGUUGCCAUUUUCUCCAGAGGAAGAGUAAUCAUUGGGAGGCCAGCCCAUAAUACAUCUGUACCAGUAGUGUGGCCAUUACACAGCGGGCUGUUCAUCCAGCGAUGGCAAAGUCAGAGCUUCGCGAAGAAAAGCAAAAAAGUGAGCAAUAAUAUUUAUCAUAAGCAAGUGUGGAUGGUUACGUGUCAAGAAAGAGAUCCGCCAAGGUACUUCGCCUUAUAUGCUCAUUUUUUGCGGCGACAUCUGUAAAUAUAAUUUGGUCCGCUCUUACUCCUAUUGAAAUCGCAUCUGCCAAAAGUGCAAAGUUAGGAAAACAUAGAUAUGCAAGCGAAUGUGCACAAGUGAGAGGACAGGGGUGGACUAUUACAUGCACGCAAUCUCAUCUCUCCAGCAGCUGGAAACCUCAAGAGCCAAAGGACACUGUUUGGCACACGCUUCAGAAUAUUGCACCUGAGUCAGAAAUAAAUACUUCUGAUGAACACGCUUGAUUUGUACGGUGCUACUAGAGUUUCUUUUUGAGGAUGCAACAGAGGGCAUAUCUGAACUACUUAUUGAUCAUGUAAAAACCAACAAAAGCCUUCUACGUGAUGUCAGGGAGAAUAGUAGUUAGUACUAGAAUUGUUGGAAGAAACAAAGUCAUAUUUUUGUAUCAGAACAUUUUAAUCCUGACUAUCUAAAUAUUUUUUGAAUAUGUGAAUAUUAUGUAUGCAAAUUAAUCUAAAAACACUUCCUUAGUUUAGUUGGUUUAAAGUUACCUUUGUGGACCAUGUCAACAUCCAAAACAUCACCUUUUGGUGACAUAUCAUAAUAGUUACUCUUUGAUAUUGGUAUAAUAUCUCCAUGAAAUGCAUAUUAGCAGUAAGACAUUAAUGGAUUUACCAGGUGUUGAAUAUAUCUGGAUCCAUCUUGUAGAGCUGGUUGAAGCAUGCAAAAAUAAAUUUGUCCUCUGGCAGGCCAUAGUCAGCGCGUUUGUGCGGGCAAACAGGAUCAAGUACGUCUUGAUUUUUCUAUGACAAAGCAAUCAGCAUUAUGAAUAUAAACCAGAAUACAGAGACAAAUCUUAUUGCAUUUAGUUGUUUCAUAUGUGGCAUAAACCCUAGUUUGGUUCUCCAGUAUUACUUUAUCUUGUGAAUCAUUUUGGAAAUAAAUAUAAAUGGAAGCAAAGAGGAAAUCUGCUCUCUCAAAAGCUGGAGGACCAAAGCAACUUUUACCUGAUAUGUAUGACACAAUACAUACCUGUUUAUAAUCAUUUACAAAGUAACAGUGAGGAAGGUGGACAAGCUUUUCUGAGUAUAUAUGAGAAUAUUUUAACGGAGAGACAAACUGCCAGAGCAACAAGUUUAAAUUAAUAUGCAGGCUAAGAAAGAACUUGCCAUUUAAAUAAGACAGGGCAUAGAACUUCAAUAUUUUUACCUCAUCAGUAAUCAAAUAAUCAAUAUAGCUUGCACCAGUAGUUGCAGGAAAUCCCAUGUAAGAAACCUGGAUUGGCGCUGGUUGCAUGGCGAAAAUUUCAUUGCGUGCACCCUGAAAAACAUACAAUUUUUUGUGUAAAAGUAAAAAAAGCACAUAGAAAAACAAAUGGAUGCCAUUACUUCACUAGAAACAGAAACUAUCCAGAAAAUAUGCAGCACAGGAGAACCAGAUUACACAGAUUUAAAGUUGCAGGGAUAAGAAAAAUUAUCAUUUACAAAGUAGUAGUGCACAAAAUUAACAGUUGAGUAGCUGAAUAGUUCACAAUUCUAAUGCUAUGCUUUAGAAUUAAGUAUACAAAUUGACUACUAAAGUUCAUGCAUUUCCAAUAUUAGUCUUGAGGCCUGGUGUCAGGAACUGAAAUAGUGAAGUACAUUUAGGAUUCUUAUUACACAGCAUACACAAAUGGAAACUGGACCAAUUUGGGGGGAAGAAAGCCAAUGGAUCAGAUACAAAUAAAACUUUGAAUAAAAAAGUCAUUAUUUACAUUAAAUUAUGGAAUAUAUAGUACCUUUGUAUAUCCAUUAAGAUUUAUAAGAAUUUGUAUCUUAUCUUCAUUGAUAACUUUAGCAAUCAUAUCAGAUGACAUCGCUGACACAUCAAUGAAGUGCUCUGCUUCACCCUUAAUACGUUGCCUCCAUUCAGUGCCAUCAUCUUGGCUCAGAGCAUAACAGAAAACCUGAAGAAUUUUCAUAAAUAACUAUUACCCCCUUCAACAGAAUUACGAUAAAUAUAUCAAAAUGGCAGAGCAAAUAAGCGAGCAACCUCUACAAUGUCGUUAUUGUGCAUUCCAAAUACAGAUCCCAUCAGAUGAGAUAGAGGAUGAUUGCCGAAGUCACUACUCACAUAUCUAAAAAAACAAAUGAACAAACAGGAUUUUGUCAGGGAGCAACAACUUGUAAGUUAAAGCAAUCUGUAGCAAUGGUAGAUAAUGUACCCAAUCCUAAGGCGAGAAGUUUUGUCAUCAGCCUUGAUAGGAGCACAAGAGGGGUGUGAGAAUGCAGGAAGCCCAAAACGUGAUGCAACCAAAGAGUAAUGAUCUGCAUAUUUUUUACUAAAACAAAAAAAAGUCAAGACAUUGUGCUCCAAUAAGUGGCUAUUGAAUUACCAUUGAUUACAGAGGUCAGUACAGAAACAGAACCUGAUCUCCAGUGCAAGAGUUGGAUCAAUCGGGAAUGCCAUAGCAUGGAAUGGUUGUACACUUGGGAGAAGAGACAUCUGGAAAUGACCGAAUAAGAAUGACAGCUAUUAAGAACGCGUAUAGAUGGAGAACAGGUAAACAAGGAAGAUGUAAAAGGCUCAUGCCUUUAUUUGCUGCCUGAUAAUCCCCUCUACCUUGAUGAAAUUCUCUUCUCUCUCAUCCCAAUCACAUACGCACUGCAAAAAUUGUGAAUCAAGCAAAAUAAACUUGAUUGAUUCAGGCUUCAUGUUAAUAAGAAUCCUAGCCUAGGUGCUACGAAAAUCAUUUUGAACUCACAAAUCGAGUCCCACUCUGAUUUAAAGUUAGUAAAACACCAAAAGUUCAGAGGGUGAAUCAAAAUAAGUUUUAAUUUCCGCUAAUGUAGAAUUUAGUUCCUGUUUAUCAUAUAUAACUGGAGAUUGCUUAUGCCAGAUUAAGAGAGUUUGAUGUGGCAAACAUUUUACCACACCUGUAGAGUGUGCAAGAGAUUGCAGGUAACUUCUGGAAAAUCUGGGCGUAACAGCAAGGCCUGCUUGUAACUGAUAAUUGCCAAAUCCAUUAGGCCCCUGUAAAUGAUGAUACAAGAUGACAGCAUAUAAGGACGAUGUAGUAAGACUCAGUUGGCUUAAGUGCAAUUUCCCAUUGCAGUAGUUGAGAUAGGAAAUGCAUUUACGUGUCUUUAUACGCAUAUGCCAAAUUUGCAUGAGCUUCAGCCAUGGUUGGUCUAAUUGCAGCAGCCCGCAAAUAGUCUUGAAUUGCUUCACUGACUCUGCCUGCUUCUUUCAAUGUAUUCCCUCUAUUCACAAGACCGUCGGCAGCCAAAGGAUCAACACGGAGUACUUCAUUAUAACAUGCUAUGGCAUUAGCAUAGUUUCCCUAAUUCAACAAUGAGGAAAAUAUUGUCAUUCUAGGUGCAAGCUAUUAUGUACACACAAAGAUAAUGAUGAAGAAUUGUAAAUUAAACAAAAGUAUGUGUCCAAAAUAGUUAGUUGGCAGAAUGCAGCAGUUCAAUAACGCAAGUACCUGUUGUUUGUAAAUCAUCGCUAAGUUGUUGUAAGGUGCAGACAAUCCAGUGGUAACUGUAAGCGCUGCCAUGAAAUGUGAAGCCGCUAUGUCCAGCAUGCUCCUGCAAGUACUUCCAAGAUAUAACUCUCUUUUUUAAAACGAACUGAGCAGGAGAGCUAAUGAUUAUAUUGAUAAAGAAAAAGGCCCAAGAUAUAACUCUCGCACAAUCCAAAUAAAUGAUCCACAAACUUAUAAACUCACCUCUCCAUAUAAACGUUCCCAAGGUUUGUCAGAGCUUGUGGGUGAUUAGGUUGAAGAGCAAGGCAUGUCUGCAAACAUCAAAAUGCCCGACAGACCAAAUUUACAUUAGGAUUAAAAAAGAUGAAAACAUAAAGAAAAAUUAGAGAAGUUUAUGGCAACCUGGUAGCAACCGAUUGCCUCAUCGCAUCUUCCAGAUCCUUUUAAAGCAUUUCCCUUCCAGUGGAAUACAAUACAUAUUAAGUGUCAUGCUUUGUGAUCAAAAGAAGCGAGGGUCUAACAGCAUAGCUGAAUGCCAAAAACGAACCAGAUUGUUAUAAGCUUCAACAUAUGACGGAUUGCAGGUAGUGGCAUGUCUAUAACUUAAAAUUGCUAAGUCCAGUUGACCUUGUUCAUAGUAGGCAUCACCAAGAUUACCUGCAAACACAGAACAUGGUCAGGACAAACUCAUACAUCAUGACAGAGCCACAAGUUAAUCAUCAAUAAUAUAAUGAGUUUUACAGGUCUGGCUUUCGAUGCAGCAAACAAUCUGUAACUAACUGAUAACAGCGACAUCCUAAGAAAUAAUCCUUGCAUCCACACAAAUAAUAAUAUCACAUUGUUAUGUAGAGUAAUUAUGAUUAUCCCAGAAGUCAAGUUACAGUUGGGAAUCUAUGGUUAACUUGUUUUUUUUCUUAGAUAACAUAAACCAGAGGUAAAUCUACACUCACCAUAAGCCAUUGCAUUUUGUGGGCAUGCCUGUGCUGCAUUUUGGUAGCAUACAAUUGCAUCCUGACACAUUCCAACAGCCUAAAAAGCAAUGCUUCCCACAAAGAUGUCAGAAAGAUAUUUCCACAUAAAACCGUCGUUGAAGAUAGACGGAAUGGUACCUUGUAAAGAUUUCCCAAGUUCAUAUGGGCAUCAUGAAAUGCCGGCUUGAAUUUGAUUGCUUCCUGAUAAUGUAGUAAAACUUAAGAGAGUCAGAAUGAGAAUGUGGUUGCACUGGUAAUUUUCUGAAGAAACGAAAGGUGUCAGUUACACCAAAAGAGCAUUAGGAAAAAAAACUGAAGUAUCUAACACAAGAACCCUCAUGCUUAGGAACUCCGGAAUAAUUAUAUUAUUUGUUGUUUCUUGGUGAAGUUAUGAAUCACGACAAAACAGCGAUAUGUAGUUCUUAAGGAGAGAUAUGUGGCUAAGCAUCUACAAACAAGAAGCAAUGUCAAGUCAGUGCAAAUUACACACCUUAUAGUAGAGAACUGCCUUAUUGAAAUCUCCCCAUUGCGUGAAAAGUCCAGCAAUAUUAUGCCACGCAGUUGCACAACUAGGUGCUAUGCUUACAGCCUCUCUAAAGCAAUUGUAUGCCUGCACAAGUCGCAUAAAAACAUCCAAAUCAUGGUUCGUACCAGUACAAAUGCCAUGUUUGUUUGAUCAACAUGAAGUAGUGUUACAAAGGAUCUUAAUUUAAGGAAAAAUAACAGGCGAAGUGUGUAAUUUUCGUAUGGGACUAGAGCUGUGGAGAUAAAAUCAGCAACAAACAGGGCCAGUUUAAGUUGGUUGAAAUCGCUACAAUGUAAAUAGUUCUAAAAUGGUGUAGUUGUCAUGUCAAUUUCAGCCAUAAUUUGUCAAAAUGAUGAUAAAUAUGUUUAUUUACCAAGAAAACAAUGUCAGGGCAGCCUCCAGGUUCCAUAAGAAAUGAAUAAAAUAGCUCAUUUAUCAAUACACAACAACAAUAAACUUGGUAUGAAAUGAACACAAUUGCAUGGUUACUAAAAGGAAAAUCACUUAUAACAGGAAAUCCCAUGGGAUACUUGGAUACGAUGCCUGUUUUAUUGUACAGAGACAUCAAAUUCGAUACAGACUGGUUAAUAAUGCCAUGGACAGCAGAUAAGGUUUUGUUUCCCUACUUACAUCUCUGCAUGAUCCUUGUGCCUUCAACACAUCACCAAGAUUGCAAUAGGCAUCAACCUAGAUUUGCAAUGUAGUUAAUCAAAACCUCCAGAAGGCCAAGUUAAGUUUGAAGAUUUGAUUCAUUAGCAUCUAAUUAAUAAAAACAAUUGUUAAUUACCAAACGAGGAUUUAGUGCAAGCGCCUGAUGGCAAUAUUUGGUUGCUUCGAUGAGAUUUCCUUUUCGAGUAUAAGCAUUUGCCAAGUUUGAGAAUGCGUCAGCAAAGCUGGGUCGCAGCUACAGAAUUAUAAUUUAGCAUUAGUCUGAAAGUUCAAAAAAAAAAUACUUAGUGAAAAAAGUUAAAAAUACUGUAUGCAGUGACAACACAGACACCCCCGUCACUGACACAGUGACACAUAGAAGCCAAAAUCUAAAUCUCAUGGCAGGGAAGAUCCUGCCCCAUUUCAGCUUCAGCCAUCAGAUAGUACACUUACCUGAAUUGCAUGCUUAUAGUACUGGAUGGCACGAUCCAUGUCGCCUUUCUCCUGCAAUAGACAAUAGAACCGAAAAUGUAUUAAGCCAUGCAAACAAUAACACCGCACUUUCCACCAAUAAUUUCCUGAGGAAAUGGCAUCACCCUCCAUGCAUUAGCCAUGUUGUUGAAGCACUCAGGGAAAUUGGGCUGGAUUGCCACAGCCUCCUCGUUCUUCGCGAUGCACAUGUCAAACUCCCGCAGCUAAACAUUUUUUAUAAGAAAAAAAAUCAAUACAGCUCCCCAAGCCACAGAAUAUCAGCAAUGAGGCCGAAUUUCGCCCGCAAACCUGAUAAUACACGGCGCCGAGAAGCAGAAGGUUCUCCAAGCGCCUCGGGUUCUCCCUGUACACCGCAUUGCUCUGCUCAAGCGCUGCUCUGUAAUCCCCUGCGUUGUAACUCUGUUGCGCGAUCUCGAGGCGCGUGCCUUCGUCAACUGAACCUCAACCAAAACACAACGGAUCAUUUUCCACCACGAAAUUUCGAUCGAACUGAAUUGUUGAUAGAACAGGGGAGGGUUUCAGGUCCGAACCUUGGAGGGGGUUCAGCAGCAGAGCAUCGAUCGCCGCGCCGAGCUGCUGCGGCCGCGGAUGUAUAGGAGGGAGCGGGUAGGGCCCGCGCAGUUCCUCCGCGGCGGCCACGGCGCCACCGCCGCGGCCGCAAAUGGAGAGCAUCGCCGCCAACGGCGAUCGGUGGCCCGAGGCUUCUAUAAACAAGGCCGCCAAACCCUAACCCGCCGCCACACCGCGCGGCGCCGAGCUUCCGCGUGCCAGGUGGGGUGGGAGGAGUGAGAGUGGAGGGGAUGGCUCACGCACGCGUUUCGGCUUCUUUCGGGGGAUGAUGGUGGCUUUUCUCGGACGCGUCGCGUUCGUGGGGGAGAAUUUGGGGAACGCGUGGGGUAUUUGUAGGUGAGGCCGGUCGCCGCUGGGAUUGGAAAUCGGGUGGGCGCGGGAGCUGAUAGCUCGGAGUUGUCUGUUGGCGCCGUGCGGGGGUUUGAAGCCGUUGGAUUGGAUUCCGGGGGUCUGGUAUGGACGACGGGAUGUGUCAUGCAAUGAGCUGGGCCAGUGGAGGCCAUUGCUUGUCUGGUGGGCUGGGCGCAUUCUGUCCCAGUCAGCAUCCAUUGGGCCUAUAGAUAGUCCACUUCAUCCUCUCGGAAAAGAACAAGUCCAAAUUCGAUGGCCGAGAUGACAAACGAAAUUGAUGGGCUAUAGUUGCCACUUUGAGCCCAUCAUAGCUAGUUUAGUUUUUCCGGUUCAGCUGCUCUUUUUUCCUUCACAAACUGAGGCUCCUUUGGGCUUUUGGGGCUGCUUUUGCUUCCCAAAAGCCCAAAGCCAACCAAAAGGCACAAGGAGACAACGUGACUUUAUCUAAAAGUAACUUUCUUUGUAGUAGGAAUGUCACAACCAGUUCAGACUUGCUUUCACCGGUUGUGGGAGGAGAAACUUUAGUUUAUUUACCCCACUCCUAAAUAGAGAAUACCGGUUCGAUUCCCUAUCCGACCACGCCCUGACAGAAAAAGAAGCUCGCGAGGUCGUUCCAUCGCCGAUCGCGAGGUCGGUCCGCCGCCGCCGCCGUGGUCUCCUCCGCCACCGUGGGCGUGGGCGCAGGUGACCUCCGCCACGGCGAGCUCCUCUGCCGCCGCGCAGGCUCCUCCAGCGCGAGCCUCCUCCGCCGUCACGAGCUCCUUCGUCGCGAGCCCCGCGUGGAUCUACCCCGACGAGGAGGCGUCGCGCCCAGGCCGGCAAGGCCCGGUCGGUGCGCCUAGGCCGGUGAGCCCCCGGCCGCCACUGCUCCUUCACGCCUUGGCCAGUGAGAGGAAGAAGAAGAGGCUGAAGAGCAGGGUCAGCUCGUCAGUGAGAGAGGGAGAGAGUUGAACGGGGAGGGCUGUGGAUGACACGUGGAGUCCGCUUAAAUAUUUUCUCAAAAGCCACAGUUGCCCAACCAAAUAGCUUUCGACUAUCUCACAGCUCACACCUCACAACAGAUUUUCUGCAACCCACAGCUAUUUUUUCAAAAGUUAUAUCUCAACCAAACACAUCCUAGACCACUUUGACUUUGGUCUGCACCGUUUCUUCUCACCUUGAUGAGGGUGAUCGUGCACCGGCAUAGGCUUUAGAUGCAUCUAUCACCCGUCUUUAUAGCUGAAGUGCAUAUCUAGUUCCAUAAACGCGCUACGGUGUACAGCAUGUGUAAGGACCCGCGUACUUGUGCUGGGUUUAUUUCAGGUUAAUGCCAAAGCUGGUUAUUGAUUUGCAGUACCUGCAGGCUUCCUUUUAUGGCGGCAAAUGUUGCUUAGAUGUCAUGGUAUUUCGGAAGCUAUAACGUACAAUAAGCAACAAUGCUAACAUCAUUUUCAUCCGGGCCUAGAUGCUCGGUUACACGCUAGGCCACGUGAACUGCCAGGUGUAGGCUGUAGCCCAGUGUAGGCUAACCCAGAUUCUCUCUGGUCUCUACGAGCUGCUGCGGUCCUGUGCAGUGUGCACGUCGUCAGCCCCCUGAAGUAGCUCUGUACUAGAGCCGCUCCAAGCCCCUGCUCGCCCGGCUGAGCCGUCGACCCUCACCUCAAUCAGGCGGCCACGACGCCACAGCACCUGCCGCUGCCGGGGCGCAGCGCAAGCGCAGGGACCUCUCAAAUCGGUUAGUCCCGUCGCCAACCCGGCCGAUACGAUGCGUCGUGGGUGUGCCCCGGGACUCUUGUCACCGUGUCACGUCCCCGUGCCGCGCUUCCGCUAGCUCCCACUCCCACUCCCAAGUCCCACCCAACUGCGAACCCAGCCACGCCGCGCCCGCCCCGCCUCGCGAGUUCACGCCCGCGCGCGCGCUCCGGUGCCGGCUCCGUGGCCUCUUCCCUGCCCAGCCCGAGAGCGGAGUACAUCGCCGUCCGGGGCUUGAUGACCCCGUGCGCGCGCGCGCCCCGCGGCCGUGCGGGGAGGACCCGGGACCGCGCGGGAGGAAGGAACAACCCAACCCAACCGGUGCGCGAGGCGGCCGCGGACGCUGAGCUCGUCGUCGUCGCCUCUUUUUCGCACGGGAGCGGCGGGGGCUGAUCGCUCGCAAGCCGCACGGCAUGAUUGCGUGGGUCGCGCGCGGGGGACCGCGGGGGUCGUAGCGUACCGCGCCGCGUCGCCGUCCGGCCCCGUCCGGCGUCCGCACCCUUUUCCAUUGCCAGUGCUCGGUACCAACAGUAACAGAGCAUCGUCAGGGAUCGGGCGGCAGGGCAGACCCAGGCCUCCGCGUACAUUUACGUUGCUCCGAUACACGGGGGCGGACAUUGUCCCUGAGGCGUGGUGACACGCACACAUGGUGGCCGGGCGGGGGGGCCACGGGCGGGCGCAGCCGGGCUGACAGGCACAUACCAACGCACGCAAGCCACUGGAACAGGAGUGGCCCUCCUGCGGGCUCCUGUUCUGUUCCUCAUCUCGCCGGCCUCACCCCCAAGAUAGAUAGGGGCCCUGUCGAGCUACCUCUCACCCCCGCAGGGGCUCCCUGCGCCAUAGAAAUCUCACAAGGAAAUCACAGCAGAUGAGCAUGGUGUGUCCUCCUCCAUUCCGGACGGCCUGUCAAUACUUCUCUCUCUCUCUCUCUCUCUCCUCUCUCUCUCUCUCUCUCUCCUCUCUCUCUCUCUCCUCUCUCUCUCUCUCUCUCUCUCUCUCUCUCUCUCUCUCCUCUCUCUCUCUCUCUCUCUCUCUCUCUCUCUCUCUCUCUCUCUCUCUCUCUGUGUGUGUGUGUGUGUGUGUGUGUGUGUGUGUGUGUGUGUGUGUGGUUGCACAACAGCACAAGGUCAGGCAGGCUGGCCUUGACUGCGAGUAACUGUACUCGUACGGCGGUGUGGACUGGGUAUUUGGGUUUGGACGCAAUGAUCGGCCUCUGUACCUGUCCGAUGAGCGAGCGGAGCGACGAGUCUGCACCUGCCGAUGGGGAUUUGCGGCAACGCCGACGGGCCACCAGCCGCGGGGCGGGGAGCGGCGGCGACUGUGCCUGUGCUGUGCGCGCCCCCUCCUCGCCUGCGCGCUUGCUUGUGUCGGGUGGGGAAUGAGAUGGCGCGCGCGGGCGGGCGGGCGGGCGGGAGGGAUUAGGAGGGGGAUCCCCAUCACGCCAACCGCGAGCCAGUGCUGGUCUGGUACUCUCUGCUAUGGCUUUGGUUGGGUUGCAGCAAGUAGGACUAGAUACCCUGUUAACUUUAGCUUAUGUCACAUCCAAUGUUUGAUACUAAUUAGAAAUUAAAUAUAGUUUAAUUGCAAAAUUAAUUACACAGAUAGAGUCUAAUUCGCGAGACGAUCUAUUAAACCUAAUUAGUCCAUGAUUUGACAAUGUGGUGCUACAGUAACUGUUUGCUAACGAUGGAUUAAUUAGCCUUAAUAGAUUCAUCUCGCGAAUUAGACUUCAUCUGUGCAAUAGUUUUAUAAUUAGCUCAUGCUUAAUCCUUCUAAUCAGCAUCCGAACAUUCGAUAUGACCCUACUAAAGUUUGACAUCUCGUAUCUAAACAACCCCUAAAGCAGCAGGGCUCUCCUCUCCAACCUGAACCUGACAAUGCCCUCUUCCCUAACCUGAACCUGACAAUGCCCUCUUCCCUAAUGUCAUGUGGGGGCAGCCACACUAAUCAUGUUUCAGUUCCAGAGUGCGCAAUGCAAAGAGCAAAGUAGAAUGAACGGGCCUGUGUGUGUGUCGCUCGGUGUUUAGAUUCCUUUUCUUUCUUUCCGGUGAAAAACUCUCUGUAGGGCAGGCUGCAGGUCAACAAUGGCUUCGCUUUGAUCUCGCCGCUCAUGAUUGCGUGGCCGAUGAUGCAAAAGCUGGGACGGACACGGACAGUUCAAGCGCCUUUCUUUUGCAUGUAUGCAGGUGAGAAAGAUUCAGAAUCGAUGGCUUCAGAAAAGCUGCCCAGCAUUUCGCUCAUGCCAAUGCAGUCUCCAGCCAGUCUGCUGGUGCCAUCGAUCACCUCUGAUCGAAAGGACUCACUCAGGGUGUCAGCAGGUGAAGCUGCCGUAUGAUACUGCCGGUAUGAACGGUGUAUAGUUUAGCAACGGAUUUGUUUGCGAUGCUGACAGGUGACGCCAUGCAUCUAGGGUUGUACUUAGCUCAAGAAUUAGCUCGUACCGUGGAGGGCACGGACCUUAAAUUUUUCCAGGAAUAUGGUGUCCAGAUCUGGGCCAGCUGGUGAUACACAUAUCUCUCUUACAUAAGUAUAAGGCGUUUGACUUGCGGCUGUGGUUGCGAUCGCAUCACAUCCCCCCCCGGUAAUGCAGCAUUUCGCGGCAGGUGACGCACUAGUCUUCGCUUCAAAGCUAACAGAAAAUUACGUCCCACUCCAGUUGCAGCUCUCUCCCCCCUCUGGACAUGGGAAGACGACGAGGGCCAUACGCCCACUCUGACCAGUACACGGACCGGAAAAUCUGCCCCGUAUCAGUUAUCUGGGCAUGGGAUGAUCUUUUUGUAGAAAAAAUGGUUUCUUGUUCAUGCCCGUGACAGAGCCAUGAUCUGGGACGCAAGCAGAAGCAGGAAGCGGUGGCUGUUCAUGGCGACCACGAUCUUAUUACAGUCUCACGCCGAGGCCACAAACUCCUGUACGAGACACAUCACGUUGUUCCGUCCUCUUCUUCCCAGUGCUAGUAUUUAUAAAUGUAUCAUCCCUUCCUCGCCUUUCCUCUGUCUCUCCUCCCGGCUGCAGAACAAUCCCCUUGCGACUUACGGGCUUGUCCCACUUAUUUUGCUGCGAAUUUACAGCUCACGCUUGCUGCAGUGUGAUUGCAUCUGGUCAGACAGAGCAGUAGUGGUGUUCCGGUAACAGGGUUUUUUGGAGCGGAGUAAUCAGACAUCAAGGAUUUGGGAGCAGUAAGCAGUUAGGCGCUGCUGUGAGAUGGUGUGGUGUGUAAUUUAGUCAUGAUUUGGAGAUGGCUCAGCUAUAUCCUGCACAAGAUCGUCCGGUCAGACUCAGGAAAGGGAGAGAUCAGAACAACUCGCUCCGCUGAUUCCGUUCCGGCGCGUGAUCACAGCCUGGAUGAUUUGGACUCGCUGAAGUGGAUUGGUAGCUCCAAUCCUUAACAACUUAACAACCAAAGAGAGAUAAACCUUUUCCCCUUUUUCUUUUUUCUUUUUUUUUGAUUUUGAUGUAGCUACAGAUGAACAGGAGCAGCAUAGCAUCGCCACUGAAUGCCGUUGCACACUGCGUGCCUGAUGUGCGCCUACCGUAACAUCUCUGCGAAAAACCAGUCUAGAAAUAAUUCUAAAGGGGAACAAUGGCCUCCUCAGCAGAGCUCGCCCCUGCCCUAGUGGAGUGCUGUCCCUUUCUUCGGGUACUUAUCAUACAGCUAAAAAGCAGCCACAAAUCCACUCCCAGCACCAAGUUGCUUGUUCCUUCUGUCCAUGUCCUUUUACAGGAUCCCUCUUCUUGGCUGAAUAUAUUCCAGAACCAAAAAAUCCUACUUCCAGACCUCAAAGCACCAAGCCACCAACUAGAACAAACGCUAUGCCUCUUACUCAAGGAUAUGCAGGAAAAAAAGAAA